CAGCAGGAUGCCCCAUUAGCUAAAGUGGUGCUUCAGGUUAAGAACAGUUUCAGGUUAAGAACGGACCUCCGGAACGAAUUAAGUACGUAACCAGAGGUACCACUGUAUCACAAAUCUAGAAUGAAAGCAGUAUGUAAAGAAUAAACAAGAAUGAUUCUGGAUUCGGGGUAAACCCCUACAUUUUGUGCUACAAGUGGGCUGGUGUGUACCUAGCUGCAGUCAAAUAAAGUUUAGUGGAUCUAAAACAUCUGACAAAUACUUUACACAUUCUUCACUUUCCUCAGCGUUCAGGAAUUCAGUAUAGCGCUAUGGCAAUCAUUCCAUUAGUGCAAGCAUUUCAGAUUACCAGAGAGAACAAUUCCCUCUCCUCCUGCUGUGUGCUGUUUUGAGGGUUCUUCCAACCCCACUAGUGUAAGCUUCCACUAGUGGGAUUUGUUGAAUCUGGCCCAAGGCAUUUCAUCCAAUUUAGUUUUUGCACUUCAAAACUUCCUCCCUUCUGUAUGUCCCCUAAAUAUGUUCCAGUGAUUUCCCCAGAUCUCUGGAACAGAACUGAGGAGGGCAUGGGGUGCACAUGGGGGAGGAGAGUUUCAUCGCACAAGUUUAAAUCCUUGCAUUGAUGGGACAUGUUAGCUGGAUAGUAAAGGUAAAGGGACCCCUGACCAUUAGGUCCAGUUGCAGACAACUCUGAGGUUGUGGUGCUCAUCUCACUUUAUUGGCAGAGGGAGCCGGCGUACAGCUUCCGGGUCAUGUGGCCAGCAUGACUAAGCCACUUCUGGCAAACCAGAGCAGCGCAUGGAAAUGCCGUUUACCUUCCCGCUGGAGCCAUACCUAUUUAUCUACUUGCACUUUGACGUGCUUUCGAACUGCUAGGUUGGCAGGAGCAGGGGCCAAGCAAUGGGAGCUCACCCCGUCACAUGAAUUCGAACUGCCGAUUUUCUGAUUGGCAAGUCCUAGGCUCUGUGGUUUAACCCACAGCGCCACCCGCGUUCCAUAUUACAAGGUAUUUCUUAUUCUUACAGUCUUAUGAUGACUUACUUGCACAUGUCACCAAACCAUUGUAGAUCUAAAAUCACAGAUGGAAUUUUUAUAUUACCUUACGUUGCCCCAAAUGACAACACUUUUCAACUAAGCCAGUUCUCAUUCAGCUACCAGACAUCAGUUACUGAGAAAUUUAUAUGUGUGUGUGAACCAGCACUUCUUACAAGAACACACAUUGUUGUGAGUUGGGGCUUAAACAUAGAAACAUGGCUUACUGAAGUGUGGAUUAGUGUUACUUUAUCAUGGCCUACUAAUAAGCUGAAAUUAAAUAUAUAUCUAGCAAUGCAGGGAUCUUCCCAACACUUAUGCAAUACUGAGCUGAAUGAAAGUGAUAAUGCUCUUUUAAUGCAAAUAUAAUAGAAUAUUCUGUUCUCCCCGUAGGUAAAGGAAGACAAUGUUUGAUAUUUUCACAGUAGAUAGAAUUAAAGUAAUCUUAUUUAUUUUCAGACAGGAGGGCCUUCCCCGCCCUGCAAAAAAUGUAUGAAGAGAUAAAAUUAAAUGGUAAUAAAGACUGUCAUCCCUUAAGUACAUUUUUAUCAGACUCUUUGCUCGUUCUUUUUUUUACCGGUUUCUUGACACAACAGUGUUAAACUAAACACUUGCCAGAUUAUGAUAAUGCCCUGCAUUUUUGUAGCUCUGCUAUCUGAUUUGAAAAGCUUCUUUCUGCCUAAAUGCACUUGAAGUUGGUGCUUUUAUAAAAACAGAAUAAAGUCUGGGGUUAAUAAGCCUUCUUUGAACCGUUUAACGGUAUCUUCACAACACCCUAUUGUUGAAUAUAAAAAUAUAUUCACAGCACUGAAGGCUGAUUUAAUUAAUUUGUCUAAUUAACAAAAGGGAAAUUAACGUUAUUUCUUGGCUGUUCCAUUGUUUAGCAUUAGCAGAAGCAAAUGUCAGCUGAAUUACAUAUGAGCUAUGACUGCUGCUUCUCCAGAACAUAAGGUUAUCUCAGUGUUGUUUUAGUGGUACAUGAAAUUUGAUGUCUCUGACAAUUCCAGGCCAGCAGCCCAUGUGAUUCUAUAAUUACUUUUGCCACUUUCCUUUGGUGUAGUCAUUCAUUAUGAAGCCGUGCUUAUCUUGUCAUACCUCCAUGUCAUUAGCAAUGCUCUAAUGCAUUAGUGACCAAACGCAGGUUUCACGGGCAGUGAUUAGAGCCACCAUGCUGCCAGCCAAGUGAGUGAUGCUUGAAAUAUCAGAAUUGUUCUGCUAAUUUCCAUCAAAAUAAUAACAGCAAGAUGUCAGCAUAGAGAACUGAUCUUGCUCAAGGAACGUGUCUGCAGACGGUAUUGAUAUUGACAUUGCAAUGUCCGGCUUCUAGUACAGCUGAAAAGAACAAACAGCCCAUUGCUUUUUCUCUUCUACAUAUAACCUCACACCUUUAUCUAAAAAUAGUCUUACACAGCUGUGGAUGCUAUCUAAUAUAGAAGCUAAGAUGACAAUAUAAUUUGUUAUAGUUUCCUUAGGUCAAUGAGUUUUUAACUGAAAGUUACAUGCCUCAGUGGAAAAUCAAACUAUUUUCUUCAUUCACACACCUGCUAGGUUGGUAUUGUUAUGUUGUUCGGGCACUGGUUUGAGGGCAGCUGAUGGCAUAGCAUUGUUGAAUCUGAACAGGUGUAGGUUUAAUGAGUGCUUGUAUGUGAGAGAUCACUCUGAGCAGUGAUCUCUGGGUGGAAAACCACAGGGAUCCCCAUCUUACCAGCUGUCUAAAGGAACAAUGGGAUGCAACAAACAAACAUUGUCGGCUGUUUCCCCAAUCCAGUAAUUGUUUAUGGAUUUGGGAGCUCUGAUGUGUCACUGGAGAUUAUGAUGAUGAUGACACUGAUAGUGGAACCUGUUAAGUGUACAUGGUGUUAUACAUCCUUUCAAUUAAAAAGAAGACAGGAGGAAAUAGUUCCCCUGUUCAUUUCAGUGGAGGGAACCUGAUUCACAAAUGCAAAUCAUCACCACCAUUAUCAAAUUAAGGACUCCUAUAUUCAUAAUAUUCUAAUGUCAUUUGUUGAAAGGAAACUAGGCUGCAACCCUACAUAUACACUUACCCGAGGUAAGUUCCACUAAACGCACUGGGGCAUUUAUCUGAGCAGAAGUGUAUAGACUGCACAGUUAGCAAUGUAAGAGAAACUCUCUUAAUAUCCAGUGUGUUGAUACAUCAUUGCAUGUAGUAUUAUUAUUUAGAAGACAUCUGAAGGCAGCCCUGUUUAGGGAAGCUUUUAAUGUUUAAUAGACUAUUGCACCACAUGUUCUAACCCAGGGGUAGGCAACCUAAGGCCCGGGGGCUGGAUGCGGCCCAAUCACCUUCUCAAUCCGGCCCAUAGCUGUCAACUUUUCCCUUUUCUUGUGAAGAAUCCUAUUCAGAAUAAGGGAAUUUCCCUUAAAAAAGGGAAAACGUUGACAGCUAUGAUCCGGCCCGCAGACAGUCCAGGAAUCAGCUUGUUUUUACAUGAGUAGAAUGUGCCCUUUUAUUUAAAAUGCAUCUCUGGGUUAUUUGUGGGGCAUAGGAAUUCGUUCACCCCCCCCCCCAAAUAGUCUGGUCCCACCACAUGGUCUGAGGGACGCUGGACCAGCCCAUGGCUGAAAAAGGUUGCUGACCCCUGUUCUAACAUCUCCCUGUACAAGAGUUGCUCAAACCCCUUGGUCAUUUUGGUUGCGCUUUUCUGUAUCUCCACUUCCCCAGUAUGCACAAGAACUUCACACAGGAUUCCAACGUGAUUUCGUUUAUUUAUUUAAAGCAUUUCCACCCCAGAGGGGCUUUCAAAGUGGCCUGGAUAAGAGCAUUAAAAAACUAGUCACCUGCUGGCGUAUAUAUAAUCCAAGAGAUGACAGAAAAGGAAAAAGCAAUGAAGAGGGGAGAGGAAAACAAGAAAAAACGCACAUGUAAAAUGCUAGACUAGGUGGGCCUUUGGUCUGAUCUAAUCGGACUCUUACAUUUUCUGUUGGAAGCCACCUUAGCUGAAAUGAGGCAUUCAAUCCAGAACUCCACGUUUGUCCAUUGCUCUCACUUUCACCUCUGAAACAUCAUCCAGCUUUGUACAGUUUCUGACGCAAGGCCUGAGAAGAGGCUUCCCCCCCACUCCUGUGUUCAGACCAGCAUUACGGAAAGUAGAAAAGCCCUCAGCAGUCCUGCUUUCCUAAUGUGCAACGUCAGCCUCCCAUACAGAAGGAAUAAUUUAGGAAUGGAUUAACUUAACAGAAGAUACACAAAGUUGCAUAAUUAAACAAACACAGAGUGCAUAAUUUAUGCACCUAAAUAAAUGCUGCUGAAUUGCAUUCUUUUGUCCUUAAUGCAUUUCCCCUUAUUGUUAUAAUAGAAAUUCAGUUGAUGUAGUACAAUAUGUGGAUAAUAUAAUUACAUUGCGUAAGAUACCUUUUAUGGGGAUGUGUUUUCGUUUGUAAGCAAUACAUGAAAAACAGAGCAGAAUCCACCUUCCAUUAUCUAUAUUUUAUCUAUACUCACCAAUACCUGCAUUUCCUUCCAAACAUCAUAUUUCCUGCUCCUCUACAGCUAUCUCACCCUCUUCAGUCUCUCUCUGUUUUCUUGCGGAAAAAAGAAGUGUGGGGUGAGAUUAUCCCACAGCUGUAUUCUGUAGAGAGCCUAUCACAGGGGUGGGGAACCUGUGGCCCUCCAGAUGUUGUACUGCAACUCCCAUCAUCCCCAGUCAGCAUGGCCAGUGGUCAGGAAUGAUGGGAGCUGUGGUCCAAAGGCAUCUAGGGUGCCAAUUGCUCCUCAUCCCUUGUUCCCUUCUCUCUGUCUCUUUCUACAGGCUGAACUGUUCAGCCUAGCCAUUUUUGUCACUUGUGGGUGUUGAGGUGGAACUAGCUUUGGGGCUUAUUCAAGUGUGUACGACUUGGUUUUCCUCCCCUUCACUUCCCUGGUCAGGUUGUGAGACUAAGUGUGUUAGAAGAGGCAGCAAAGAGUCCGACAUUCUCCCUACUAGUAAACAAAAGCCAUCUUGCUAUCAGGCUCAGAUGAAUGCUUACUCUACAUCCUCACUUCUAUUUGCAUUUGUUUAAGGGGAAAAACAAGAGACACAGAUGGCGCUGUGGGUUAAACCACAGAGCCUAGGACUUGCCAAUCAGAAGGUCGGUGGUUCGAAUCCCCGCGAUGGAGUGAGCUCCCGUUGCUCGGUCCCUGCUCCUGCCAACCUAGCAGUUCGAAAGCACGUCAAAAUGCAAGUAGAUAAAUAGGUACUGCUCUGGCAGGAAGGUAAACAGCAUUUCCGUGCGCUGCUCUGGUUUGCCAGAAGCGGCUUAGUCAUGCUGGCCACAUGACCCGGAAGCUGUACACCGGCUCCCUUGGCCUAUCUUGGCCUAUAGAGUGAAAUGAGCGUGCAACCCCAGAGUCAGCCACGACUGGACCUAAUGGUCAGGGGUCCCUUUACCUUUACCUAAGGGGAAAAACACUUCAGACAACGACAUUUGUCCAUAAACUACAGAACUGUUAUGGAUUGUGGCUCAAGUUGUGUGAAUGCGGCUUCAAAAACGAGCAGUGGUAGCCCAGUCUUUACUGAAGGCAGUAAGCCAGCCGAGGAGGUCAGGACACACUAUGUUUUAUAUGUUGUGAACUGCCCUGAGAUCUUUGGAUGAAAGGUGGUAUAUGAAGUAAAUAAACACUAUCAAGCUUCAGUGGCUCUGCAAUAAGCAUCAGCCUGGCAGCAUUCAUCAAUGGGAACAGAACAACCCAGUGGCCGAAAUGCUAUGGCAAGAUCUGGUGGGAUGAGCAGCUUAGGAUGUCCCUCCCAUCAGAUGUCAAAGAGAUAAACAACUACCUGACAUUUAGAAGACAACUGAAGGCAGCCCUGUUCAGGGAAGUUUUUAAUGUGUGAUAUUUUAAUGUAUUUUUAAUCUUUGUUGGAAGCCACCCAGAGUGGCUGGGGAAACCCAGCCAGAUGGGUGGGGUACAAAUAAUAAAUUAUUAUUACAUUAUUAUUAUGGGAUGCAGCCGCUCUCUGGUGGAGCCAGGCGGUUCUCGUCUCAGCCAGUGUUAAGUUUCCAACCCCGGCUCAUAUGAAGAUAUGCCAGCGUUACUUGUUCACCCUGGCUCAGCCAGGCUCAGUUGCGUUAAGUUGUGGGUGAACAUAUCAGACGACACAGCGAUUUUUCAAACAGCUCUUCUUUAUUCAGAGGCCACAACAGAACUGAACUGAAGGGCUCAGUCAGCGUGCUUAUAUAGAGCUCCAGUACCUUGUUACUGUAACAACUUUCUAAAACUAUCCAAUCACUGAACAUCACUUUCGAUCCUUCAUUUGCAUACAAUCUAUCCAAUCACUGAACAUCACUUUCGAUCCUUCAUUUGCAUAACUAUCUACAGUAUCCCCCUGCUGGCCCAGGGUGAGAACUUCAGUACAUAACAAGUUGGCUGGGCCAAGGCCUGCAAACAUCCUCCCAAAGGGCUGUUCUGGGGGCAUGGCGGAGGCGGGACCAGUAAGGUGUACUCAGGCUGGAUCCUAAAUCUGUUCAGCUCUGUCUCAUGAUCUGGCAAAGAGGAUUGUGUAAGUCAAACCCUAUUUUAAAGGCUUGUUCUCUCUUUGGCAGGCUUGGGCAGACACAGCCAGCAGUAGCCUUGCUCCUGAAUGGGGUUUGACUCUGGCAUAUUUGUACUGUUGUUGUUGUUGUUAUUGUUGUUGUUGUUGUUGUUGUUACGCUGGCUUAGCUUAUGCUAGCUUGCUUUGUGACAGCUUCUUGUGCGUAGAGUUACUCACUAUGUAGUGAUGAGGAGCACUGAGAGUUUUUUUUUAAAAAAAUGGCAGCCCCCCACAGUCUAGGAAACAAGGUACAGUAAACUAUAACUCUUCCACUUCCCACAAUCCAACACUUCACAUGACCCACUCCUUAGCUAAGCCAUCCUUCACUUGUGAAACUUCCUUUUUGGCUCCGUGUGGCAAUUGGUACAUUUCCAGGUACUAGCAAGAAUGUAAAUAUGGUAUGAAUCAACUUUUUCCACAUUUUCUUUUGCAGCCCUUUUAUGAAGAACAGAUUUUCCACAGAGGAAAUUAAAAAGUACAUAAAACUGAGAAACUGUGGUGUUGUUGAGAACUGCAUCAACUUUCAGUGUCAAUAACUGGCGGUCUGCACUGUAGUCAAAUGGUCUUGCUCUUCAGCACAAGCUUCUCUCUUUUCUUCUUCAUUUAGCUUCAGUUUUAUUUGAGAAGCAAUUAUCGUGGAUCCCUGAAAUAACUUUUCCCCAAAGAGAUGUGUAUCAUUAUGAUGAAAAUCUUUUAUGUCGGUUCUUUAAAUUGCGCUUCCUCGUAAAAACGGCUAAACAUUGAUUUAAUAAAUACACUUGAUUUGUGUAUAUUGUUUAAAUUAAAAAAAGGCACAGCAAAACUUUGGUUUCCUGUAUGGACACUGUAAAAUUGUGGAAGGGGUUUUUUGUUUCUGUUAAAUCUGCAGUCAGAAGGAUCUUUUCAUUUUAACUUGACUCCCCCCACCCGCCUCCCCAACAACAACAACCAAAAGCAAUACUUGCAAUAGCAUUUGGUUCAUAUUUCUUUCUUGGAUGGCAUUCUUUUGAGUGAUUUCUAAAAUAAUCUUCUCUCUCAGUGCAUCUGUAAACAUCUGAAAAGAUGAUAUUUGAUUAAGGGCAAUUGCUAUGGACAGCUUGUGGGGGGGGGACCCACCCCACCCCCAAACUUCAGGCAAAAUGGUUGUUGGAUUGCUAUCCAAAUGUAAACCACAUGGAGGCCAGAUGUUGUAAAUAUGCAUUCAGACAAACAUCCAUUGAUAGUUUGGAAUAGUAGAUGCAGUUCCUCCAGUUAACGGCACUUUUCUACAUGACAUGCCCUUCUGAUGUGCCUUUGUGUUUGCAGUGCUGAAGCUAAGUAUUUGUACAUGUUACAGUUCCUUUCUUUUCUGCCCGGACACACCAGCAGCAGAACCUUUUUAUCGCCAGCGUCUCAAGUGAAUUUCUUAACAGCAGAUGAGUAGGAAUCCAUCGACGUAGCAUGUGUUUUGUUCUCUUUAUUUCUCCCCCAGGACAGGCGGUUUCAGGUCAGCCCCCAUUUCUGAGCCUGAAGCCAUCCAGGGUGGGGAUAUAUUAUUCGCCUUGUUCUGAAGGGCAGCUUUCUCCUGCUGACGGUGGUGAUCACAUAAAUACCUCCAGGCCAGUGUAUCUGAGUCAUCGGUGAAUGACCUCACUGACAACCUGAAACCACAAAAUGCAGCUUAUGAAGCUCUUGCUAAAGCAGCCUCGCCAGAUGGAAGCACAACAGUGUCAAUAAACAAAAAUGAGCACGGUCGUUCAGACCCAAGCUUAAAAUUUCCACAAGAGCAUGAAACUAAUUCCAAAGAAUAAUGGUGGCAUAAACCUCCUUGAGGAAUGUCCACAAUGCUAUUACCUGAAGCACUUUUCAAUAAAACCCCAGGUACUUAAUAGAGUUUGCUCUUCAGCGCUCUUUCAUCUUUUAAUCUGUAAUAAUAAUGGCAAGGAACAAUGAAGGAUUUAAGAAGCAAAUACGUUUUUGCACUAUUUCAUUGGCAGGCGAAGGCCACAGGGACUUUACGAGCUCUUUUCUUGCAUGUUCUAAAAUGUUAGAACUCCACAGGAACAAGGAUCCCCACCCUAGAUUCUUCUGAAACCUGCGUUAAUUUAAUUCCUGAAAUGCCAAGCAGUUGGCUAUCACCUGAUUAAUCUCACAUUCAAAACAAUGGUCAGAGAGCUAUGUGUAUGUAUAUUUACGGAAUUUACUUUCGGUCCAGGGAACUGGUUGAAACAUCGUUAAGAGAACAUUAUGUUUCACUGGAGACUGGAGACAGAUCUGGGCAAAAAUUUAUCUACCACUUGUUUGUACUGAGACCUCUAAGCUGUUUACAAGAUCUAUUGAAAUGGUCAAUAAAAAUAGCUAAAAAUAGUUUAAAAGGUUCUUACCUUCAUUAGUACAAACGCCAGUUCAGCUGGAGGUGGGAGGCCUUUUAAGAAUCAUAAAGGUGAAGGUCUUUUUUAGGGUAGCUGUUUAGUGAAGACUUUCCCAACCUGGUUCCCUACAGAUGGUACAGCUCCAAUCAGUCCCCAUCAGCAGAGCUGGAAUGGGCUGGAGUUGAUUGGAGUUGUAAUCCAAAAUAUUUGGAGGCUCCACAAGCAGGAUCUGGGUGCCACAAAGCUCUCCGCACUUGAGUCUCCCCAGAAACCGGGAUUCAGAGGCACACUACCCAAUAUUAAGGAAGCAGUGGGCUUCAAAACACACUGCCACGCUGCUGUCAGGCAAGGCAUGUCCAGCGUGAGGAAUUCACUAUUUAUUGUCAAAUGCACACUUACAAGUUAGGAAAAUGCAUGUCUGUGAGUCCCACGUAUCUCAUGUGCUCCUAUGAGAGAGGGCCAGUGUGGUGUAGUGGUUAAGAGUGGUAGACCCAUAAUCUGGUGAACCAGGUUCGCUUCCCUGCUCCUCCACAUGCAGCUGCUGGGUGACCUUGGGCCAGUCACACUUCUCUGAAGUCUCUCAGCCCCACUCACCUCACAGAGUGUUUAUUGUGGGGGAGGAAGGGAAAGGAGAAUGUUGGCUGCUUUGAAACUCCUUCGGGUAGUGAUAAAGCGGGAUAUAAAAUCCAAACUCUUCUUCUUCUUCUUCAGCAUGACGGGAGACCGGAGUGAUGAAUCCCGGGCGAUGCUGCGUUGGGGGGGAGGCACUGGCCUCAGCGUUCUCACCCAACAAGCCCUAGUUCACACACACACACACACACACACACACACACACACACACAGAGACCUUUACUGCCUGUUUUCCUGCUCCUAAUCCCCACUUGAAUUUGCAUCUCCCCUCCGAUGAAGACCCUCUGUGUGUGUUUGUGUGAGUUAACUCUGCCUCCUGAACCCCAUUGGUGGAGGGGCAAUGCUCUUGUGUCAGCAUGGAAAGGGUUAAGCCCCUCCUUUUGUAUUGCCCAACCUGUUACCUUCUUAACAACAGAAAAAGUCAAUUGGAGUGUCCAAAAGCAACGAUAGUUUUGGAAGCUUUCUUUCCCCACCCACCAAUAAUUUUAAUUAUUUUUUUCCAAAUAUCUUAAGCACAAUACAACUUAACAACAUUAUUCUCCUUUAAAUCUAUAUCUUAUCUGAAUUAACUUCCCUCUACCCCUCUUCUGGCUUCUCCACAUUGCUCUUAAGCGUGUUUACUGUAUAUAAAUUCUAUAAAUGUCUAUAAUUCCUUAAUAAAUUUUUGUAUUAUACUUUAAACAUACAGUCCUUAUUAUAUUACAUCUUAUGGUCUAACCAAAUGUUUACAAUAAACAUUAUGAGUUUUAUUUCAGUCCUGUGAGUGUCUUUAUUUAUGUACAGUUUUCUCUAAGUACAGUGGUACCUCAGGUUAAGAACUUAAUUCGUUCCGGAGGUCCGUUCUUAACCUGAAACUGUUCUUAACCUAAUGGGCUAAUGGGGCCUCCUGCUGCCGCCGCGAGAUUUCUGUUCUCAUCCUGAAGCAAAGUUCUUAACCCGAGGUACUAUUUCUGGGUUAGCGGAGUCUGUAACCUGAAGCAUCUGUAACCUGAAGCGUAUGUAACCCGAGGUACCACUGUAUACCAUAAAUUUGGACCAUUCUUUUUUGGAAUUUCACAUCGUCCUGCUGUCGGAUUCUUCCAGUUAGCCUUGCUAUUUCCGCAUACUCCAAUACUUUCUGUUGCCAUUCUUCAGUUGUCGGAAUAUCCUGUUGUUUCCAUCUCUGUGCGAGGAGUAAUCUUCCUGCUGUUGUGGCAUACAGGAAGAAUAGUUUUGGAAGCUUUCUCACUAUUUUAAAAAAUGUUUUAUUGUUUUUUAAAAAGUACUCACUACACAGAGUUCCUUUUAACACCGUUACACAUUUUAAUGUAUAUUUUGAACCUAAGUAAGCUUUUUUUUAUGUACACCACAGUCUUAGUAGCAUGACACUCUGCUAUAAACUCCUUGCAAAUGAGAUGAGUUACGUGACAGUUAACAUGUAAGCCUCAUUAUUGCAUCAUGCAAUGCAAAUUGCUAAACACGUUUUAAAAAAAUAUUCUGCUGAGCCAUAUUUUAAUGUCACUGUCUCAUUAAAUAUUUGUUUCUUUGGCUCAAUGAACAGCAGAAUCAUAAAGUGCAGCGAUAGCCAAGCUCUUAAGUGUUUCUGAUGCCUAAUGUACACCCUGAUGUUGAAAAAUAAAACCACAGACAUUUAGAACUAAUUAUAUGCAAGCUACGAUAACAGAUUUAUGUUACAAGCAUUGAACUAUGAUCCUGAGCUGUAAUAACACGCUUAAGGGAGAAGGGAGGGGGGGAAUCUUAACAAGACAGAUAGCUCAAGACUGUAAGAGAGAAAACAAGCUUUUGUUUUGAAAUGGUCGUGGCUGUUUAGUUAUUUAUAAAUAGCCUGAACUAGAAGAAAGGGCCGAGAAUUAAAGAUUGAUUGGAGCCUCCUAUGAAAAACUCUGCCUUCAUUUAAAUCUUCUCGCUGAGCUAAAUCUUCAAAGGGGAAGCAAGAUAGCACUUUAAAAACAAGCAAAUAUAUGUUGCCAGCAUUGCUACAUUGCUUUUCUCCCCCCCCCCUUUCUUUAUUACUGCUUAUAAUGAUGCAAUUGGUUUAAAAGCGAGUUUGUGCCUUCAUGGCAGCAUUCACCGACCCAUUCACCUCCAUAAAGUUUGGACUACAACUCCCAUCAGCCCCAGCAAGGUGCUGGUGGAAGCUGAUUUAUGGAUACUUCCAUAUACCCUGGCUGUGAGGCUGACUGUGCUGGAGGCAGGGUAGGGGGUCUACUAUGGAGCGAAUGAAGCAUAAACUUCAGGGCCCCUCAUCCGAGAGGGGGGCUCAGAAGUGAUUUAAGCUAACCUAGAAUGGCAUAAGAAUUUUGAGUCUAGAACACCCCAUCUGAUUAAUUUUUUGUUGCGCAUAGCUCAACAAUCCCAAAGCUUGAGAGUCGGUAACACAGAUGUCAUAAAGGUGGACUGUCGUGGUAACUAUGAGAUAGUCCAAUGCAGCAAUUUUAAUCAAAAUAUGAGAUGUAGUAGUUAUUUAAAAUAAAUAGAUAGAUAGAUAGAGAUCUGUUGUGGAACAACCCCACUGAAGAAAAUAACAGUGGUUACUCAGACCUCGUUGCUGGCUGAGAAAGGGCCCCCAUGUAACAGUUCAAGCUUCAGGGCCCACAAAAUAUAGCUCCACCACUGCUUGGAGGUCUAAGAAGCAAUAUAGCAUGCAGUGUUUAGUGUGUGUCUAAAUCCAGCAUUCUUUACCGUGUCAGAAAACAUUUGUCCUACCCCAAAGGAACUUGGGCUGCCCUAGACACUGGCCAGCUAAGGCUCCUUUGGCACAUUCAGCCAAAGGUUGCAGGAUUAUGGACAGACAAAUCUCUCUCUUUCCAUUUUGUGUCUUUUUAAAACCCAUAAUUGCAUUCUUUUGAGUUGACAUUAACCUGCAAUUAAAAAUAGCAACAACAUUUGCAUUUAAAUAUAAACAUGUAGUUUAUUAUGCAUUUAAAUCCAUGUUUUCUCUGAAAAUGUAUGUUCCCCCUUAAAUAUAUAUAUAUCUAUAUAUCUAUAUAGACAUAGAUAUACUGAGAGAUUAAUAGCAUUACAUUUAUAUCCCAACUUUCCUCCAAGGAGCUCAAAGUGGUGCCCCUUUCAUUUUAUCUUUGCAACCAACCUGUUAAAUAGGUUAGUCUGGGAGACUGUGACUGGCCCAAAGUGACCCAGUGAGCUUCAUGGUCAAGUGGGACUUGAACCCUGAGCUCCCAGGGUCUUAGUCCAAUUCAGUAACUGUUAUGUACUGAAGUUCUCACCCUGGGCCAGCCAGGGGAUACUGUAGAUAGUUUUCACUCAGGUCCACAUAUGCAAAUAAGGGAUUGAAAGUGACAUUCAGUGAUUGGAUAGUUACAGAAAGUGGUUACUGUUGCGUUCUAGUGGAGCUUUAUGUAAGCAGGCUGGCUGAACCCUUCAGUUCAGUUCUGUUCUGGCCUGUGAAUAAACAAGAGCUGUUUGAAGAAUCGCUGUGUCGUCUGAUAUGUUCACCCACAACAUAACACUAACCACUACACCACAUGAGCUCAGAUGUGUUAGUGGACAUGGCUACUGAUUAUAAGUGCAUUGAGUGAGUGUUCUAUGAAAUAGAGUUUGAUGUUUUCUGUAUUGUAUUCUUUAUAGGUUUUGAUGUUUUCUAUGAUGCAUUCAAUUUUUAUUGUUUCACGUAUUAUUUUUUGCUUUUUCUUCGUAAACUACUUUGUGAUCUUUUCUCAUGAAAAGUGGUAUAUAAAUACUUAAAAUAAAUACACAAAAUAAGUAGCAGCAGCAAUAGCAAUAGCAAUAGCAAUAGCAAUAGCAAUAGCAAUAGCAAUAGCACCAAAGAGAAUUUCACAAUUUGUAAGGCCCUCCUACAUCCACACUACGAAGCUACAGGAAAGGGGGUGGGAGGAAAGGUUCUGCAUUGAGUAUUCAGAAAUCCUUUUGCUCUCAGUUAAGUAAAUUAAACUAACUGAUUAAUCAUUCUUUGGGAACAAUCCAGUUAAUGAAUGCUAAGCUUAAUAAUUAUUUCUGAACACAGUUAUAACAGGCAGGAUAAUAAACAAAGUGUGAUUCUGUCUCCUUAUUAAUCUAACAUGUAAUUUACUAAGCACUUCCGCUGAAGCGUCAUUGAAAUGAGGAAUUGGUUUUCGUAUUGGUGGAAAUCCCCUAAAUUAUUAUUGUGUUUUCAGGAAGAUGGACUUUGCAGAUGGAGGGAAGUAGCUGGAAUGAUGAAGCUCACAGCAUGGGAGUGUGACAGGGCCAUAAGGGAGGAUAAAGUUGAAAGUGGGGGCCGAAGGAGAUGGUACAUGAAAAGCAGAAUUGCAUUUAACAUAUAUGGGUUUUAAGGGUUAAAUAGGAGCUGUAGGGGUGGAGGACUGAUCUGGGUCCUGUUCAUGGGGUGCAAAGAGAGGGGCUUUAACUCUUUCCCCUCCCACCGGUUUCAUCCUGAAAAUUGCAUUGAAGUUGUUGUUCCAUUCAGGAGGAGACACUGGUAUUGAGGCUGGUGCAGAAUGGGUUUAGACAGCUGCUGAGUGGGAUUUUUUUGGGGGGAGGGGGGAAUCACCCUGAAUUUGGAGUUCCUUUUUUCCCACUUACUUUGCUCUGAAUUUGAUGGUGGGAUAGAGCUAAAUCUGUCUGGUUGGUUUAUUUGGUAUUAAGUGCAGGCAGGUUUAGACAAGGGCCAGCACCCUGAGGUAUGCUGGGUUGAAGACACUGCACACACACACCCUGUUGUCAAUUGAAAAUAAUAAUAAUAAUAAUAAUAAUAAUAAUAAUAAUAUUGUUGUUGUUUAGUUGUGUCUGACUCUUCGUGACCCCAUGGACCAGAGCACGCCAGGCACUCCUGUCUUCCACUGCUUCCCGCAGUUUGGUCAAACUCAUGUUCAUAGCUUCGAGGACACUGUCCAACCAUCUCAUCCUCUGUCGUCCCCUUCUCCUUGUGCCCAGCCACUCUGGGCAGCUUCCAACUGAAUAUUAAAAACAAUACAGCAUCAGACAUUAAAAACUUCCCUAAACAGGGUCACCUUCAGUUGUCUUUUAAAAGUAAAAUUGUUGUUUAUUGCCUUGACAUCCGCUGGGAGGGCAUUCCACAGGGCAGGCGGCACUACCGAGAAGGCCCUCUGCCUGGUUCCCUGUAACCUCACUUCUCGCAGCGGGAGAACCGCCAGAAGGCCCUUGGCGCUGGACCUCAGUGUCUGGGCUGGAUGAUGGGGGUGGAGACGCUCCUUCAGGUAUACAGGACCAAGGCCGUUUAGGGCUUUAAAGGUCAGCACCAACACUUUGAAUUCUGCUUGGAAAUGCACUAGGAGCCAAUGAAGAUCUUUCAGGACUGGUGUUAUAUGGUCUCGGCGGCCGCUCCCAGUCACUAGUCUAGCUACUUGGUGUGGUGCUCUUGGGAACUGGCACAUGCCACUUGCUGAACAGCAGGGGUAGCUGGCACCCGCCAGGUCAUACACCUAUAACUUCCACUUGUGGAAAGAUGGUUUCACCAUCCAUCAUCGUAGCUUCUGUAAGGAAGUUUCUCUGGGGCAGUUUUCCCCGCUACAAGAGGCACGGGAUUUUCUGCCUGCUAGCCUAGGUUAUGUCUGCUCACACUUUGCUUUGACAGAGAUUUCCCUUGUUAUACGUCAACAGACACAACCUUUAACCGUAUCCAUGUGUCAAAUCUUCAUUCCCAGUGUAGGACAAAGACAUCCAACCCAGAGCCGGGGUCCCUCUUAUGUAAAACCACAUGAGCUAAGAGGUAAGUUAGUUUUCCACCCGCCAAUACAUUUUAGGCACCAACUUUUGCAUGGGCUUCCUUUGGGUUCUCGUAGUGCAAUACUGUAAUUAGAAGAGGAAAAGGAGCCCCUUUGCCCAAAAGGCUUAUAAUUCACGUUAGACUCGCUAGUAACAUUCACAUAAAUAUUUCAGAGUACUUGUAAUUCAGGGUCUUAAGCCUCUUUUACUUCUGUAAGGACAAACAUGGGGCCAUGAGUGGCUCCGGUGACAUUACAAUCCAACCCCUUUGUUGAAGAAUAUUAGCCGGAGCCCUGCUUAAUUCAUCCUGCUGUUUUCUUAUCAUCUCUGAAUAUAUAUUUAAAAUAAUUUUAAAUUAUUGAUUAAAGGACAAAAAAGUCAUACAGGGCCAGUAGCAUAAGCAGGAUUAAAGUGUCUUUAGCCACACUUGGGAAUAAAAUGUGGCAACCUUCUUUCUUUACUUCAAAAGGGGUGGGGGUGGACAGGGGAUGGUUGAUAAACUUCAAAUAUUUCAAACCUAAUCCCAUCGUUCUUUUUUUCAUUUUUCUGAACAGACAGUGGGGAAACCACGUAACAGUCGCAUGCCUUAUUUAUGACCAGUUCCCCCCCCAAAGUUGUACAAUUAAAAGCCUUGUCAAAGUUUAUAAUUAGAACACAAAACCGUGGGAUAAAGAUACAAGGAGCUGCUUGAGCUCUUUCUUUGUAAAUCUGAAUUCUGACUUAAGCAUUUUCUCAUGUUCAAGAGUUGUGGUGGUUUAAAUUCAUUUACCCUCCUCCCCGGCUUUUUGCCUCCACAGCUUCUGCUGGGCACCAGCUAGAACCCAGACCAUAAUUAUAAUGCAAAACAGCAUCUCUCAGUCUCAUUAAUGCAUUGCAGACCUUAAGUUCCUUGAAGUUCUGAGGAUUUUAAAAUAUUGAUAUUCAUUAAUAGAACGGCUUCCUGCGACAUAAAGGCAUAUUAUGGACUUGAACAUGCUGGAAACAACUAAAAAAAAAAAAAAUGCCAUGUCAGAAGUGUUUACUGUUGUGAAAAAUUGUACCAUGUUAAUAUAUGCCUGUUUCUUAAAUUCUGUUAGCAGUUGUAAGGCAGUCAGAUACCACCCAUGGGACUGUGUGCCCUCAUGAAACACAAUUACAAUGAGAAUAUCUCAUUAUCUCAUUGGCUUUAGCUUACUGUUCUGUUACCAUGGUUUCAAAUACACAGAGGAGUCUGAAACUAAGAGUGCUGCUAACAAAGAACAUAUCCUUGUACAAUGACAUCAGAUCAUGUUAGACAGAAUAGACUUAAUUAAAUACCCCCUGAUGUAGGCCAAAAAUAUAGAAGUUGUGUAUACUUUUCUUUAAAAGAGAUGUGAAUGUUAUUAAAUGCAGCUGGGAAACAAAAAUAUAUAACCAACAACCUCCCCCCGCAAAAAAUGUCCUGUAGUUGUUUAAAAAUAAAUUGUAUAACAACCACUAAGCCACACUGAUUAAGCGAAUGCAGGGGGUGGGGGAGGGGAGGAGGCAAUGGGAUCAAAUAAAAUUAAUGAUAUGCCUUCCCCUGAUUAAUGUCACACAUUAUGUAUGAAAUUUGGGACAUAUUUCUCCUGGUAUUUAGCCACUGGGAUUCAAAAUGGGAGGUCAACCCCAUGACAGAUUCGCUGUGGUCCUACCUCACACAUCAAGACAUGACUGGAUAUUGAAGAUGUCCCCUAUGAAAGAAGAUGGUGUCCUUUUGUCUUUAAAUAUAUCCCUUAAGAAGAAGGAGUGUUUCUUCUCAGUGUUCAAACUCUGGCUUAAUAUCUUAUUGAAAACCAAUUGAAAUGAAAACACUUCAUGUAACAAUGUGCUGGAAUUUGGACCAGAACAUGGGUAAAGAAAGGAAAACUGUGAUAGUGGAUGUAUUUCAUGCCUUUUUUGUUUUCAAGUGCACCCAGUUAACAUGUAGGGUUAAGCAUAGUGGCUGGGGCAACCCAGUCAGAUGGGCGGCAUAUAAAUAAGAAGAAGAAGAAGAAGAAGAAGAAGAAGAAGAAGAAGAAGAAGAAGAAGAAGUCAUCUAGUAGAAGAACAUAGGAAGAUGCCUAAAUCCAAGCCGGACCAUUGGUCCAUCAAAAUCGGUAUAGUCUACACUGACUGGGGCUCUCCAAUCAUUUAAUUUAUACCAAGGAAAUCUGUUUUAACUCACUUGCAGAAAUGCUAAUUUAAGGGGAGGGGGUUUCUGGAGUCAAGGGAAUGCGUCCAAUCUUCAUUGCACAGGUGGUUGCUAAGGCUUUGAAUGACAAUUUUAGGUUAUAUUUUAGUGAUUAAGAUUUAACUUACAUAUUUUUAACUGCUGCUAUAUCUGUAUUGUCCCUGUUAUACCCAACUGCAAAUUCAAAUGUAUCACUAUCGUGUCUUAUGACUUCCGUGAUAUUGUAUGUGAGCUGGAACUGGUCUGUGACUGAAAUUAAUAAAUUCACAGGUGGUUGGUGCCCCUGGGACCUGGGAGGGAGGCCAACCUGGGGGGUGGGGCCAAAGCCCAGGACUGGUGGAGCCAAGCCAGGGCCAAGGACAAACAAGCCAACAUUGCCCCCCCCCUACUCUCCGCUGAGUUCUACAACAGCAAGAUGGAGGGGAAAUAAGCUGACAGGCAGUAACUGUUAAGAUUCCCGCUCUGUGAUUGCAGUCAUAGGAUUGUUGUUUAUCACAUGAUGGUGUAUGUUUUCAUUCCACAGAGUGGAAAGUGACAGAGACAGGAUGUUUUGUGUUACUGUGUUCCGUGAAGUGGGACUAUUGUCCUUUGUUCUCACUUUUUGCACCCUGAUGCUAGAGAGAGGGGGAGCCAUAUUGCAGUGCUCCAUGUGUGUUUAUAUGUAAAUAAAGUAGAUUAGCCAAAAUGCUGAGUUGCUGAGGUCUGUUAUGCAAACUGUGAACACUCUGCGGAUCCCUAAGUGUGCCGGUGUCUGUUGGCAUCAGUCGCUGUGAUGUUCGGGCUAAAGAAAGCUUUUGAAGCUCCCAAACGAAUGGCCAGGAGGGAGAGAACAUGCCAGUCGGGCAUGUGUCUCUGCCAGGGUCCUACUCAAGUGUAGGACGAGCUCCUGACAGUAACCCCCCCUCAAAGAGUGGUUACAAGCAAGAAGGCAGGCAGGUGAGGGCUAGCCGAGGGUGGUGGGGCAGUGGCCCACUUGUCCUAAUGGCGGAGCCUCUACUGCUCCAGGGUGGCAUAGACUGGACAAGUGGGAUUGUCGAGAUAUCCACAAUAGCAAGAGGACAGAGUUCUCCAGCAUUCAGAAUCUCUGGCAUAUCAUAGCACACUAAAGAAUGCAUAAUUCAGCCAAAGUUCUCGUGUGUUUUUGUUUCAUUAAAAAUUCCACAAAUCAUUUAUUUACCCUGGAGGAUAUCAGGUGACAUAAUGUGACAAUAAUGACAUCCCUUGUGGUGUUAAUUGAUUUUGUCCUGGUAGAGAGGGUAAUUUGGCGUCCACCGCGGUUUCCAGAUCAUGGACUUACUGAUUGUCUGCCUAGGUAGUAUUACUGUUAAUGAAGAGAAAACAGACUUUCCUCUUUAAAAGACAGUAUGCUAAUUAUGACAGACAAUAGCGAGCUAGAGGUCAUUUAUUAUUUUUAAAGAGAGAGUUAAUUAUAAACGACUGGCAAAGAAGUGCAAAAUGACUGUAAAUUAGUAAGUGCGAUUCCAAGCUCAUAAAAACCCAGUGUCACUUUUUAUUAAAAAGAGAGCAUUCAUGAAAUAUUCUAUCCACCUUAACAUUUAAAAGUGUGAAUAAUUAACAACCUGAAGUUAACAAUUGCCGGCUUGUAAAAGCUCUGAUUAAAAGCAAUGUUUAUCAUCCACCAAAUGAACACAGCUCAUUAGGUCAACAUUUCCUAAUUAAUAGUCUUCUAUUAGGGGGAUAACAUAUUUUUAGUAUCAUGGGUUUUAAACAUGUCGUUGUUGGUUGUUUAUUAAACUUAAUCUGCACAAUAAUUAAAAUAUUGUCCCUAAGCUCAAAUGGGUUUCCUAGCCUUGGAAAGCAAUGAGAAAGGGAAUGUGCUUCAUUCUAGUUAAUUUAGACUCAUUAAAAAAGACAUAAAAGUUGAGGGUUUUUGUUUUUUUAACACUCCUCCCCCCUACAGCACUGAAGUGUCAGUGAGGCAAGGCUUCGAAUUGGUGACAUAACAGUAUUGAUAAAUAGGGUUUGGGAUGAAUGCAAACCUCUACCUGUCAUGUGCAGAGGGAAAACUUCAAAAAUAAAACUUCCAAUAUCAUACUUUUAUAUAAUAAUAAUAAUAAUAAUAAAUAAAUAAAUAAAUAAAUAAAUAAAUUUAUACCCUGCCCUCUCCAGUCAGAGCCAGGCUCAGGGUGGCUAACAUCAUAAACUAAUACAGUAUACAAAGAACAUAAAAACAUAAAAACAGGCAAUCAAUUAAUUAAAAUACAUCUUAAAAUUAGUUCAGAGCUAAUUAAAAUCUGGACAGAUGGCAGUCCACGGGUAAAAUUGAGAGUGGUUAAUAUUCUCCAGGGCCAACUGUUACCACUGGUCUUAUAAAGGACCUGUGAGCGGUCUCUUUAAUGCUUGUUCUUAUACAGAAAGAAAAGAAUCAGACUGAACCCUGACCAAAGGCCUGACGGAAUAGUUCCAUCUUGCAGGCCCUGUGGAAAGAUGUCAAAUCGUGCAGGGCCCUGGUCUCUUGUGAGAGAGUGUUCCACCAGGCCAGGGCCACGGCCAAAAAGGCCCUGGCUCUGGUCGAGGCCAGUCUAAUCUCCCUGGGGCCUGGAAUCUUCAGGGUGUUAUUAUUUGCAGACCUUAAGGUGCUCUGUGGGGCAUACCAGGAGACGCGGUCCCAUAGGUACGAGGGUCCUAGGCCAUAUAUAUGAAUCUAUCAUGCAGCCACACUUGGAAUACUGUGUACCGUUUUGGUCAUUACACCUCAGAAAGCAUAUAGAGCUGGAAAAGGUUCAGAAGAAGGCAUUCAAAAUUAACAAGGGGUUGGAGCAACUCUCCUGUGAGGAAAAGUUACUGUUGGUGAAGAACAUGAUAAGUUGCUAUUGGCAGUGGCAUAGCGUGGGUUGUCGGCGCCUAGGGCCGUGUGGAAGGAGGAUAGGAAGGAGGGAAAUGGAUGGAGUACGCAUGCACGUUCAACUGCCUAAUGGUGUCUAUGUGACCCAGGAGAUCGCAGCUGUAGAGAUAAGAAGUAUCAUUCUGUUGUCUGGAGAAGUUACUUCUUGGUUCUCAUGGAGAAGAUGUUUUCAACAGAGCACAGCGAAGGAAGCUGGCAGCUGUAUUGAGGCAGCACCAGGUGUUGAAAUUUUGCAUCCCUAACCAUUUUGCACUUGGGGUGACUGCCCCUGUGUCCACCCCCCACACUAUGCCACUGGCUAUGGUUGCCUUCUGGAGAGAAGUUGCAAUUUUGACAAAUAUUGAUGAUUAGGCAACCUGAAAAUCAGUUAGAUGUGAAACAUUUUUGUUGUUUAGUUGUUUAGUCGUGUCCGACUCAUUGUAACCCCAUGGACCAGAGCACGCCAGGAACUCCUGUCUUUCACUGCCUUCCACAGUUUGGUCAAACUCAUGUUAGUAGCUACAUGUUGGACGCCUUCCAACCUGAGGGGCUCAUCUUCCAGCGUCAUAACUUCUAUAUGCCAGUUGUUUUUGUCCAUGGAGUUUUCUUGGCAGGGAUACUGGAGUGGCUUGCCGGUUCCUGCUCCAGCUGGAUCAAAACUCUCCACUAUGACCUGUCCAUCUUGGGUGGCCCUGCACGGCAUAGCUCAUAGCUUCUCUGAGUUAUUCAAGCCCCUUCGCCACGACAAGGCAGUGAUCCACGAAGGAGUGAAACAUAGGGGACAUAUCAAAUGCUUUUUUAGGUAAAGGCAAAGGUACCCCUGACCAUUAGGUCCAGUCGCGGAUGACUCUGGGGUUGCGUGCUCAUCUCGCUCUAUAGGCCAAGGGAGCUGGCGUUUGUCCACACACAGUUUCUGAGUCAUGUGGCCAGCAUGACUAAGCCGCUUCUGGCGAACCAGAGCAGCACACGGAAACGCUGUUUACCUUCCCACCAGAGCAGUACCUAUUUAUCUACUUGCACUUUGACGUGCUUUUGAACUGCUGGGUGGGCAGGAGCUGGGACCGAGCAAUGGGAGCUCACCCCGUUGCAGGGAUUCAAACCACCGACCUUCUGAUCGGCAAGCCCAAGAGGCUCAGUGGUUUAGACCACAGCGCUACCUGCAUCCCAAAUGCUUAUUUAAUCAUGGACAAAUGGUUUGUUCUCACAGCCAUCUCCACUGACAACUUGGCUGCUGUGUUGUGCACCAGCUGCGGCUUCCAAGUGGUUUCCAAGAGCAGCAUUACAUGCUACAGCGUGUUGUGAUAGCCUAAUCUGGAGCACACCAUAGUACGGUGGCCAAGUCAUCUGUGCCCAAAUUGGGUUGGAGCUGCUGAACUGGCCAAAGCUGAAAUUGAAAGUCGUAGCGACCGAAACUACCCGAGCCUCUUGUGGCAAUGUUGGAUCUAGGAGUCCCAAGCCAUACACCCACUCUGUUCCAGAGGAGUUCAAUCCCUAUAGAGUAAGCCACCUCUCUACCUCGCAAACCUGGGAGCUUGGAAUGCUCUGUUAAAUCAGUGAGUCUUACUUCUAAGUAUUCUGAGUAUCAAAAGUUAAGCCCAUCAGAGCUCAGGUAAGCAUUUUCAAAUGUUUUCUGUGUUUUCCAAGGUUUUAUUUUAUUUUAAUUUUUUUAAAAGUAUGGUUUUGCUUUUGUGUUGUUUGUUAACCUGGACUCUUUGGGGAAAGUAGGCCAGGAUAGAAAUUUAAUUCAUUAAUCAAUCAAUCAAUAUUUACAUAAAAUUCAUUUUGCCUGCUAGAACAUAGCUUCCCUCUUGUUUUAAAGAAGGAAUGCUGAGGCUGGUUUUGCCGCGGCCUGUGGAGGCGUGGCUUGGCUUUAAUGAUAUGCAUGAAUAAUUUAUCAGUGGAGUUUGUAAGGGAUCAUUUGCAAUUUUAGGUGCACCAUUUCCUUUUGAAGCUCCAGAAUAACCCCCAUUAAUGUUAAUGGGGACCGUGCUCACAUUAAAAGGAGAUGAUACCCCUUAGGUGUUUAACAUCUGACUUAUUGAGGCCUUAAACUGCAUUGCUGAAUGACAUUUCUUUCAUUUACCAAGAUGGCUUUUUGUUAUGCUGCCAUUACAUGAGUGAAAAAGCGAAAAAGAGAAUAUGGAAGAGAAGCAAAUACCCAGUAAAGUAGCAGAAAAACUUGACUUAAAUCUAGUCUUGGCCUAAGAGGAAAACAGGUCAAUUCCAAAGGGCUACAGCUGAGUACCAGAGAGCACAUGCUAUGCAUCCAAAUGGUUUCAAUUUCUAGUGUCUGUAGGUAGGGCUGGGAAGGACCUCCUGGUGAGCUGCUGCCAGUCAGUGCCAACAUUACUGAGCUAGAUGGACCAAUGGACUGACUUGCUGUAAGGCAGCUUCCUAUAUUCCAAAUACCAUAAGUAAAAUGGGUCAGAGAGCCAGUUAGGCUCAUGGAAGAGGCAUCUGCCCGGUUUAGUUCUGAUCUUUUGAAAACUUGCUUUCCUUCAAAAAGCUCAUCCUUCCCACAGCUUCAGUUUCAAAAACAGUUUUCCACAUGGCGUUUCGGGUUGGGGCCACAGCAUAGAAACACACACACACACACACACACACACACACACACACUACAAAGCACCAUACAGGGGAAAGUCACUAUCAAAGCAAUCAUGUGAGCAAACACAUCUCAGAGAUGUGAUUUAACAUGUCUAUAGGAAAUAAUAUGACAGAGCAAAGCUCUUAAAAAAGCUAAAAACAUAUACAGUCAUACCUCAUGUUACGUCCGCUUCAUGUUACGUUCUUUCAGGUUACGUCCCGUGGCAACCCGGAAGUACCAGAAAGGGUUACUUCCGUGUUUCGCCACUUGCGCACGCACAGAAGUGCAAAAUGACGUCAUGCACAGAAGCGGCAAAUCACAGCCCGCACGUGCACAGACGUGCCACUGUGGGUUGCGCUCUUUUCAUGUUGCGAAUGGGCCUCUGGAAUGAAUCCCGUUUGCAACCAGAGGUACCACUGUACUCCACUUAAAAACUACUCUCCCUGCAAUUCAGUGCAUCAUAGGUUGCAAAAACACCAAGCCACUUAGUACGCACAAUAUAACAGUUCUCUCUCUCUCUCUCUCUCUCUCUCACACACACACACACACACACACACACAUACACACACACCUACCUGUGGGAGAUAUAUGCAGCCAAACAUAACUGUGCAUAAUUGGCAAUGAGAAAGGGGUUAAGGAUCACAGAGUUCUAAAUUGCUAGAGAAGACAGAUUAGUCAUGAUCCCUCACCUCCGGGGGCUAGGGAGGAGGGAAGAAAUAAGAGUUGUUACCUGUUCCUUUCUCUCUCCUCAUUGAACCAUGUAACUGAGCAGACAUCUAAAGCGGGGGCUCGGGACUCAGAUCUUGUGUUUGAGACUAACUUCUGCAUUUUGUAACCCAACAUACCUUACCUGUGUUGUUUCUGAUGUGGCAUUGAUGAUGCAUGAGUGAGACCACUUAUUCAUGUAAGUAAAGCAUUUAAACUUACUUAAGGUUGUGGUCUAUUGGGAGAGCACAAUUGUAAGCGCUUAAUACUGGGGCAUUUAAGGGUCUAACCUUAAGGGUCUAACCCUUUCCCGUGCUUUGUAAACACUGGGUAUAUUUCUGUUUUAAACUCUGCUGAGGUUUGUUUUUGUUUUUUGUAUAGAGAGUGAGGCAGCCAUUAUUCUUUUGCAUUUCCCCACAUAUAUGGGACUUCAGGAUUAACUGGUAUUCCCAGUUAUUUCCCUACAACACCAGCCCUUAUAAUGGGCUAGUGAUUGGAGAGAGAGAGAGAGAGAAAAGAGAGAGUGAACACUGGUAAUUCUUUUGGUGUUUCCUGCAAAAAGGAAAUUAUUUGUACUGAAAAUGUUAGCAAUUGCUUGACACCAUCUGUUCUCUCAUUUACAGAAGCUCGAGGAACAAGCAAUUACAGCUAGUCUAUUUGGGCCUCUCUUGAACUAUCCAGUAAUCACAAGGACCUGACAGUUUCCCCUCAACUAGUGCAACUUGGCAGCAGGGAGAGUCUCUGACUUUGUGAAUUAGGAGCUUCUGCAAACAAGAACAGGGACAAUUCUGAAGAAAUCUAUAGGAUGUUAAGCAAGAGCUUGAUUAAUUAUGACACACAUCAAAUAUUUCAAAAGGUACAAAGUCAAGACUAUGUUGGGCUUUUGAUGUAGACCUCACACAGAUAAACGAGGAUCAAUGCUGUUUUCAAAAUCCUGAAGUUUGAAGCGCUCAGUGUCUGCCUUUCUCUGCUGAGCAUAAGUUAGAGAUAAAUGGCUCUUUCUAAAUGACGCAACUUAUAGUUUCAUGAAAUCUGUCUGUUGAAAGGUUAUAUUGUUUCAUAUAAUCCCUAUGCAGAUUACAAUUCAGUGUGCAAUCACUGCAUGCGAGCGAGGGUCAGAAUUGCACCAGCUAACACCCCACCACCACCUCUAUGCAUUGAUUGAGUCUUCUGCAAAAAAAAAUAAAAUAUUUUAAUAAAUUGGGCUUAAAGUUAUAUGGGGCUGAGAUAAGUUUGCAUUGUGCUCAUGGGGGCAAAGGCUCUGGCACUUAUUGGUUGAAUUAGAGUAAUGAUACAGAAUGUUAGGUUGCUGAGGGACUAAAGAGUUUUGCAGUCCAAUUUCUGUGAGGAAGGAGAAAGUUGUCAGUUCGGCUGGGCUGAAAACCUCACCCAGGAGCAGUUGGAGGACUGAAGGAGCUCCUAGGAUACAAGGGAGCCUAAAGCAAUAAAGAUUAUGGAAAGUUAAAUUGGCAUUAAACCAAUAGAAGUUGGUAAUGUAAAAUCAACCAGGCAGUGACUGUCUUAGAAACACACUGCCUUUCCAUCAUAGACCACCUUAUUGUUUGAGUGACUCCUCCCCCAACGCAUUUGAAAAGUUCCCUUUUAUUGGAAAUCUACGUUCCCCACUAUUAUUUAAUGAAUUAUGUGGCUCUUUUUCUUAUUAAAUGCAAACCAUAACCUAUUACCUUGACUUAUUCAUGUAUACCACAGAGAGCAAUAUGUGCAAUGUGGCCAAGAUAACAGUUUUGGGGUGGACUGACCGAGGCACAUUCAAUCUCUGAAUCCUUAAAAUCACCGCAUUGCCUUAAUGAUAAUGUUUGGAAGUGACAGAGGUGGCUGGGUGCCGAAGAUAUCCUGCAACGGAGCCGGGUAAUUUUCUGCAGCACAUCUGAGCAUUAGGCAUUCAUCUCCGUAACUUUCUAUGCUAGUCUCUACGUCCCUGGAAAAAGUGAAAUGUAUUCCUCCCGUGUUAAUCAUGCAAGCGGCAGAGUGGUCGGAAUGCGCUGCACAAUGAAUUAUGCAUUUCAGCCCACCCGGGAGUCGAUAUUUACCAUAUCACACCGAAAUCCAUUAUGUAGAACAAACAUUCUAUUUAUACAACAAGCUGCAAAACUAUUCAACUGACCAGCUGCAGGUUGGAAGACAAGGUAACGGUACAUCCCAGCUUCUGCAAACGAGUGUUAGCUUGUGCCAUAGUUUUCUCCGCGCAUCUCAUGCUUUGGUGUGGCUAUUGCUAACAACAAAGGGCCGAGUUCUAAUUACAGAUGCAGGAACCCUGUUUUCUUGGGAAAGUGUGCCUAGGUGACAGCAGCUGCCACCAGACCACAUGGAAGAGCUUUCCUUUGCAGCAUUAAAAUAAAUUGCCAGGACUUCAUUAAUGAUUCUAGUACCAAAGUCCUUCUUCAAUAAUAUUGAUCACAAUUACCAUUGUUCUCAUCAACACAGUGGAAUCAAGAUGGCUAUUAUAUAGGGUAAUAAUAAUAAUAAUAAUAAUAAUAAUAAAUGGCACUUCUAGCAGACUAGCAACAGCAGGAUGGUGGCUAACAGUGAUUUUUAAACUGCCCAUGAUCUUUCACCACCAAAGCAUCAACAGCUUAAUGUCUAUUUCUAAUAUAUGCCUUCAAACUGACUAACAAUGUGAUUAGAUUUAAACAAAUUGCAUAUUGUCCAAACUUUAAUAUAGCUGCAUUUUUCAGACACUAAUUAAAUUUUAAGGUUCAUCCUUCCCGAUGCUGCCAAGGGCGUCAAAGUGAGGGGACAGGAUUUGCUUUGUGUUCCUCUGUCCAUUUCAAGCCUUUAAUUUUUAAUUUGCUGUUCAUCUUCCCUUCCAUUCAAAAUAAUGAGAGGGAGAGGUUUAGAUUCACUGAGAAGCAUGUCUAAAUCUGCCCCCAAUUGGGGACCAGGAGAGCUUUGAACCAAGAAAAUACUCCCUUUUGGACCCUACCAGUUUUGGAUCUCUGACAUCAGUUGGUCCAGGGCAUCAUCAUCGGAGAGGAAGGCUCCAACAUUAGGUUUCUCUCUCUCUUAUGUCAGAGUUGUCUCUGAGGUCAGAGGUGUCAUGUAUGCAUUAUGAACCAAAUAUCUGUCACAUGGCCUUUUUAAGAGAAACAGCUAUGACCCAGAAGGCCAGCUUCUGGCUGAAAGACUUCCUCUAAGCCCUUACUUUUUGUUGUAGGCUUGGACUGGUUUCUUGUUCGCACACUUAGGCGGAAACAUCCAGGCCAUAGAUGACACGCUUAGAUAGACAGACAGAUAGAUCUAAAGCACACUCUGCGGGGCAACAGCAACAAAAAUUCUCUAAUGGCACCUUGGGGCUAAUUUUAUGAAGUGUGAAAUCAAUCAACAUGGGGUAAAUUGGCAACCGGGUGAUGGACAAGUGGAUAACACUGAUUUAAUAAAUAUGAUCUCUGCCCUCUAUACAAACGCCUAUUAAUGCUGAUUUGGCUCUGUUCGCUUAAAGCAGGUGCAUUCAUGAUGAAGACUGACAGCCGGGGCAAAAUGGAUGGAAGCAUUUGGAAAACAAAUGCUGCUCUUGGCAUCCUCACAAAACGUUAAUUGGUUAACAAGCUGCAGCUAAUGCAGUGAUGAUGGUGGGGAUUUCUUUCCCGGCACUGAUAUGUUUUGCUCAUGUACGUCUCGGCAGCAGUAGCAAGUUGAGGGGCUCAUUUGCCUAUGAGAGCAAAUGCUGGUUUUCUUCUUUGAAGCAAGUUAAUAUUCUACAUGAUAAUGAGCAGUCAGAGAUGUAUUCCAUCCAUGGGACAUUUCACCACUGUAGUCUGUUACUUGGACCAUAAUUUAAGUUUUCACUUAGAAUAAUACUCCUUCUAGUGGGUGUUUUUUUAAAAAAAGCUCCAGAGAGACCUUUAAGUGAAAUAUCCUAAUUUAUAUUCCUAUUAAGGGAAAGUCUUCAAUCUUCAAAAAUUCAAUAGCUUAGGGGAAUAUGUUUGAGAUGUAAUUUUUGUGUUUUUUUAUUUUAAGAAAAGCACAGCUAAAUGACAAUUCCCACCUUGAUUUUCAAACAGCUCUGGCUGCAAAGGAGAUAACACCAACAGUGUGAAUCAGUCCUAGACCUCGGAAGGCUUACACACCCAUCGCACAACAUUGUAGACUUGACUCACCCAAAAAUCCCCAUUGUAGCUCUACAGUGCCAGAGGUGGAUACAGAGACUUUAUACAGUAGACACAUGACAAUGACAAUGCAAAGUGAUCUUGAAUUUAUUAUCAUAUCCAAGCUGAUGUUGAAUGUGACUGCCAUUUUAGGAAACUAAUCCUGCAAGGUUAUGCAUGGUUUUCAUUCUCAUGGCUUCCGUGAUUCUCAUGAACACCUUUUGGGAGUAACAGGUUCCUAUGUUAGCCAUCUUAGUCUGCUGUCACAAACCCAGUAAGAGGUCAUGAAGACACUUUAAAGGCAAACACAUGGUGGACUAGAGUGAGCUAGUCAUCAGCUUAUUAGCAAUGAUGGGGGAAAAGCCAUUUACACUUCUUCAAGCUGGAGAGAUGGGAGGUGGGUGGGUUUUCAAAAUGCCACCUCACGCUGCCUAAUAGUAAGAAGAGGUUGGGGACAGAACAAGGACUUCCACAGGGCUGGUUUUGCUGUCAGGUGUUAGGCUUGUCUGUUGGGAAACUCACAAAACACACAGACCAGUUUGGUUUUUACUUAUUAUAUGUCAACAUUUUUAAAUAAAAGAAUCCAAAAUGCCUGUAGCGUGGUAAAAGAUGCACACAAAUGCAUAUGUUAGUGAAAAUAACAUACAAGCAUAGGGAAAAUACAAAUAUUAAAAUAUUAGGGAAAACAUGUAUUGCAAAAAUGUACAGUGGUACCUUGGGUUACAUACGCUUCAGGUUACAUACGCUUCAGGUUACACACUCCGCUAACCCAGAAAUAGUGCUUCAGGUUAAGAACAGAAAUCGGUCUCCGUUGGCGCGGCGGCAGCAGGAGGCCCCAUUAGCUAAAGUGGUGCUUCAGGUUAAGAACAGUUUCAGGUUAAGAACAGACCUCCAGAACGAAUUAAGUACUUAAUCCGAGGUACCACUGUACUGUAUUAGGCAGAAUGGCACAGAAGUAUGUGUAUAUUAGGAAAAAGUCAUGCCAUUAUACUGAUGAAUCUGCAUGAGGACUUUUAUUUAUGUAUUUAAAUACAUACAUACCACAUACAUACUUUUUGGGGACUCAUCUGACUGGGCUUCUCUAGCCAUUGGACUUCCAACAGAAACAAACAAACAAAUAAAUCUGGAAAAGCAGAGAGCUGACCUUACGACUAGAAGAAUGAGAAACUGAGCGAAACUGAUCAAUUGGCCAUCGCUAUCUGGGAAUGACCAAAGAUUAUGGGAGGCCAUGAUGGUCUGGUUCCUUUGACAGCUGCCCAGGCCACCUAUGCGCAGAGGGAGGCCAUAGUGCAAAUGAGCAUCUUGGAAAGGUGGCAUCCCUGGAGAAAAAGCUGACUAGUGAAACCAGUCUGCUUCUUCUGUUUCCCCCAUUUCCCACUGGUCAUUAAUUCUGUGGCAAGGAAAAGCAGAGAAGCUCUCAUCAUUUCUCCAUGUUAUUUUUAGAAUGACAAAAGAAAGCCGUAUUGGAGAAUCAAGAAAUCUGCAGUACACCGUUUUGGUGAAAUGUAUACCCAAUAUAAUAUAAAUGUUAAUGUGCUGUGCGCAGUGCAUAUUUGUGAAGGACCACCCUUCCUCCUUGCUUUAGAAUUUCUUCCAAUGAGAUGGUAACUUAUCUAAAUUUAAUCAGUAUUGCUAACAGCAUGGCACCCCAUUAAACUUGUUUAUAAACAGAGUAAAAUAUAUAUCAGGAGCUCAUUAAAAUGAAAUUUUUAAUAGUGCCUUCCUUUUAUUUUAUUUUUUUACUCUAUUCCAGGGUUGUCUGAGGCUUCCUGAGGGAGAUCAUACGUGCAUUCCAUCGAGUGUGUCAUCUGUAAAAAAUUAUAAAUGUUCUCCCUCUUAAUCUUUUGUUUGCAAAGCUCUGUGUGUGAUUUGUCUUUUUCCUAAUGAUUACUAAGUGCUCAAUACUUGCUUAUUCAGGAUGCUUAUGUCAAACUAAUUAGGUUUAAGUGAGAGGAAACCAGCUGAUUAGAAUGUUAUUCUUUGCACUUGAACCAAGAAAUGGUGUGUAUAUAUACAUAACAACAUUUUUAAACACCCCGACCCCCUCAAAAAGCACUCUGCCUUGCUGGGAAGUAGGAGGUACCACAAACUCAGCAGGCAGAACAAACUGUGAAAUGUAUUUCUUUUAUGCAGGAUUUCAACUGACUAUGUAAGGUCAGAACCUUUAAAUCCACCAGGCCUUCUUAUAUAAGGCUUACCUCACCACACCUCCCUGAUAUAUUCAGAAGUGUGGAGCUCUUAGAAAUAAGAAGUUGAAAUAAGAAUCUGAACUUAGUCUGUGUUCAUUAGAUGGCAGUCUGAGCAAGAUCCAACUGCUAGGCCCCAUUGCCAUGCUUCAGAAGGUUAAGGUGGGAGGUGUCUGGGAUGAAAUUGGAGGAAAAGAAGAGCAGCAGCAAGAAAUGAUGCCUGCAUGAUCCUGGUUCCAACUGGACACCACGCCUUUUCUGUUCAUGUACUAGGUUUGAGUGUGAUUUUAUUUCAGUCUCCACCCCCAUUGUUCUACCCGGACACUAAGGUCUAGUGCCGAGGGCCUUCUGGCGGUUCCCUCGCUAUGAGAAGCCAAGUUACAGGGAACCAGGCAGAGGGCCUUCUCGGUAGUGGCACCCGCCCUGUGGAACGCCCUCCCACCAGAUGUCAAAGAGAACAACAAUUACCAGACUUUUAGAAGACAUCUGUAGGCAGCCCUGUUUAGGGAAGCUUUGAAUGUUUGAUGGACUACUGUAUUUUAAUAUUUUGUUGGAAGCCGCCCAGAGUGGCUGGAGAGGCCCGGCCAGAUGGGUGGGGUAUAAGUAAUAAAUUAUUAUUAUUAUUGUUAGUGGUAGCAGUAGCAGUAGUAGUCUUUUCUGAGAUCUUAUGAGAGCCUCCUUGGACUAUAAAGUAUAAUGUAAGUAUUCUAAAGAAACAAACAAAAAUCAUCAAAAACAGGGGCAGCCGAAGGCAUUUUGGUCCCGGAGGCAAAACGCCCUGCUGCUGCUCCUAUGAAGCCCCACCACACUGCCUGGCUGGAGAGGGGGGAAAUAUCCUUUCCAGAUCCUCUGCAGACUUUGGUGUUUCAAAUUUCAGUGGCAUCCCGUGUGAGACCAAAAUUCAGCACCCCUCCUGCCUCUCGCCUUCUGUUCUGCUCAAUUCACUACGUCAUAUUUGUGACGCACUGAAGUGCCCUGUAAGCUCGGCACCCAGUGCAGCAGAAUUGGACUGAUUGCUGUAAUUCCGCCUUUAUCCCCUGAUCCCCAGUGGUGGGAAUUUGGCAGGCUUCUUCCAUCUUGAUUCGUCAGAAGGGGAGACGUUCCUCAGAGUUUUGCUGCCAAUCCCUAUCUGCACCUAAAGGCCAGGGAGACCAGCACUUCUUUGCAGAGAUUAAUAUCUGAGGUGGCUGCCUCACUCUCACUAAUGGACUCUGGUCAUGUGCAUUGUGUUGGUUCUCAGAAUGGUACCAAACCUUACCACGACAGUGCUCUUUUUAUUAAUCAUGGCAACAUGGAAGGAGAAAAGCUGAAUCACCACGAAACUGUCGGGAUUCAAGCCUAUAUCAGUAGUAACUGGCAACUCUCCAGUUACCUGGCUUGAUCUCCUGUUGACCUCCCUGUCUGCAUUCCUCAGCAAGAUCCAGGCAGAGGUCGUGAUAGGCGAUCCUUCUCAGCGUGAGAAGAACACCCCCCCUCUUUGUUGCCCCCCCGGCAGGGGAAAGAGAUAGACAGAAACGUAUUUACAUGCCUUUAUGUCUGUCUUUGCAGCGUUACAAAAAACACGACUGCUCUCUUCAAACUCCAGCAGUCGAGAGAGUAAAACAUCCUGUACUUCCUGGACAGCUCAUAUUACACUCUGAGCUAAUUCCGGUGCUUCGCACUGUGAAGUGACUGUCCCUCUGUUUCCCACGGACAGUCCCAACAUCAUGUGAUGUUUUCAAGCUAGCAGCUCGCAGCUGCAUUGCUUCUAUAUCAUAACAUACUCCCCCAUAUGAAUCAAUGUGCGCUGCGAGUAAAGCUUGAUCCAGAGAAGAAAACAAACAGUUGUUAUACAUAUAACACUCCCCUGUUGUUUCAGUUCCACCCUUGGAACUACCCACCACUGGUUUCCCCAGUGUACCUCUCUGGUUGUCUGACUUCCAAGGAAUGAGUGCAUCUGCAUUACCUUGGCUAGGGAAUGUAGUGUUACGCUUAGCAACUCCCUGUUGUGUCUUUGUCUCUGACUUAGACACACCUUUAACCUGUCUUGAGUUGUCAACAAUAGUAACACAUGCAACAGCUGAGUUAGCAAACUCUUUUGAAUACCUCUUGGGUGGUACACCCUUUGUAACUCUCUCGGACCUGCGUAUGAGGUGCUGAUCCUCUCUGCUCACUGGUUCAGUCUCAGGAUUCUUUGGAGAACCAGUUCCGAUAGUAAACAGUGGUUCAUCCUUCACCUGUGAAGGUCUAGCCAUUGUGCGAGAUUUCCUCUCAAUGACAGUGUCAACUGAGCUCUUCGAGCUAUCACUGUUACGCUUAGUACUACUGUAAUCAGUAAAAUUAUCAUCAUCAUCUGAAUUGUCCUCAGUGGGAAAUGUGUGAACAAUUCCUCUCUCCUGUUCAGGAGCACUCUCUAGAAAUUUUGUGAGAAUCACCUGACCAGAUUCAGACAAAAUUACUCUGUAGAGAACCUUUUCAUAACCCACAAAAAUGCCUCUAGCAUUCUUUACUCCACCUGGAGCAUCAGAUAUCACAUGAGACCCCAAAACCUUAAAAUGGGCAACAGAAGGUUUUCUAUGAAAUAGCUUUUCAAAAGGAGAACUUCCCAAACCUUUUGAAACCUUUCUCAACCAAGUGUAACAAAAACACGAUAAAGAUUCAGCCCAAUACUCAUGUGGCAAAUGUGAACUCAGCAAUUGUGCCUUCCUCCCAUUUUGCAAUUCUUUGUUCACUUGCACACAGACACUUUUGUUCCAUGCUCCUGCAGAAACAGCAGUCUUGUGCCUUAUGCCUCGUUUAUCCAGGAAAUCCUGAAAAUCCUGUAAAAGAAAAACUGGCUUUUCAUCUGUGAAAAGACAAUCAAUGUUAGCAUCAUGAACAUUCUUAACCUUGUCACAAAACUCUUUAAACCUUUCUAAGGCUUCUUGUGGUUUGUGCAAUAUGUAUAUCCACACAUAAUGAGAGAAAUAAUCCACACACACAAGAUAAUAUCUUGCACUGCCUCUAGAUGGUGCUAGAGGACCAAUCACAUCAGCAUACACUCGCUGAAAAGCUUUGGUUACUUUCGUCGUCUUCUGGACAUUUUUCUUCACAUCUGCAAGAGAAAUCAUGUUAGACUCAGAUGCAUUACAAUUUAUGCAAUCACUUUGAUCAAAAGUCAACAAAUACAGUCCAUCUUUCUCUCUGGCAGAAAGAUACAGCUCUCCAUCUUUGAAGAUUUUGCAGCUUUCUCUAUCAUAGGACAAAAUCAGUCCUUUCUUUGUGAUCUGCGAAACACUUAGCAGAUUGAACUUUAAAUCAGGAACCAAAUACAUAUUGUUAAUAGUCAAGUUCAGACUUUCAAGAUACACAGUUCCAAACCCGGUUGCUUUCAGCUCCUGGCCAUUGGCCUGUUUCACAGUGAAGCUUUGCUUCUUAAACGUUGAAAACAGUCCUCGGCGCGACGUCAUGUGUUGCGUGCAACCCGUGUCAAGAACAAAAGCGUUCUCCAUUGAAAAUUCUGCUUUUGUUGACAGCACUGCUUUUGCAGGUUUCAUCUGGGACUUGGUAUGACUUUUGCCUGACGCCUCAGGCUUUGCAGAGCUCCCCUUAACUCCUUUCUGUUGACGUGGCUUCUUACAAUUCCGCUGAAGAUGCCCAGUCUGUCCACAAUUGUAACAACGGACAACGUUCAAAGCAACAGCCUGUUCUUCACUUGCAGUAGCAAUGUUUUCAAGCUAGCAGCUUGCAGCUGCAUUGCUUCUAUAUCGUAGCAGAAACUAGGGUCUGGUCUGCUCAGCAUCCCCACUCUGCACGAUGCCACAACUAAGGAUGCCUCUUUUCCGCAUCCAAACUAGGGUCACUGCUACUACACAAUGUUGGUACUAAGGCCACCUGUGACCAGCAACCAAACUAGGGUCACCUCUGCCAAUGCCCUAAGUCAGUGUUGGCCAAACUUGGGUGUCCAGCUGUUUUUGGACUGCAACUCCCAUCAUCCCUAGCUAGCAGGACCAGUGGUCAGGGGUGAUGGGGAUUGUAGUCCAAAAACAGCUGGAGACCCAAGUUUGGCCAACACUCCCCUAAGCUCUUCCAAGUAUCCAUUCACCGAUGAAGCUUCCAAAUCUCCUCAUUUCCUCCCUGCCCCAAGGAAGGCCAGGUAAAAGUCCUUUAAAAGAACCACUGAACCAUGGAGCAGAAACACGGGGGCACUAAUAGAAGUAACUGUGCUGCUGACAAAUGUGUCAAGAGUCCUCCCCUUCAGCCCAAUCCUGUGCAUCUGGGUUUCUGGUGAGAGAACUUAGGGGUUUCACUUCCCACACUAGACACUGAAUGGACACCUUUAAACAUCACAGUGCAGUGGGUGCGAAGGCACACACGACAGCUCUCACCUUUUCAUCUGCCCUCUAGCCCUCAGUUGACAGGACAAGCUGGUCUGCAGUUAUGUUACACAUCAGGUGCAGGAGGUAACAGAUGACAGAACCAGGAAGUGAAUGGGUGGGAAGAACCUCUACUGCAGUGGUUCUCAACCUGUGGGUCCCCAUAUGUUGUUGGACUACAACUCCCAUCAUCCCUGAGCUCUGGCCUUGCUAGCUGGGGGUGAUGGGAGUUGUAGUUCAACAACAUAUGGGGACCCACAAUUUGAGAAAGGCUGCUCUACUGUCUUGACUACUCUGCACUGGAACACUUACAGCAGCAUAGAAUUGUAGAGUUGGGACUACGAGGGUCAUUGCGUCCUAUUCCCUAAAAUUCAGGAAUCUUUCAUCCAGCAUGGGGCUCAACUCACAACCCUGAGAUUAAGAGUCUCAUGCUUUACUGACGGAGCUAUCGCAUCUGUUCUAAAUCUCCAGAAGAAGGCCCUUAGAUCAGUGUUCCCCAACCUUGGGCCUCCAGCUGUUUUUGGACUACAACUCCCAUCAUCCCUCGCUAGCAAGACCAGUGGUCAAGGAUGAUGGGAAUUGUAGUCCAAAAACAGCUGGAGGCCCAAGGUUGGGGAACACUGCCUUAGAUGGCUAAAUCCCAGAACGUCCUAGACUUCAAACACUUGGGCACCAGACACAACACAUUACAUGCAAAAGAAGCAUGGAAAAAAAUGUUACUCUUUGCCACCCUCUGUUCACUCACUCACUCACUCAAGACCUAGAUUGCGCAGGUGGCUCAUGGGCCGCAUGAAUAUUGACUUGAUAUAAAAUUCAAGUAAAUGUCAGGUCAGCAAAAAACCACUUUGGUUACAAAUUAGCAGUGAACCUGAAUACAGACGCUUGCAACGCCUUGAACUAUGGGCGCUGCUGAACUUCUCCACUGCUCCUCUGCUAUGUCAAAAGCUGAAAAGAACUCCGGGUUUGGGGAGGCAGGUCUGAUCCAUAGUUGUGCUUUGCAAUUCUAGUCUCUAACUCCUUAAAAUGUCAGGGAUAAUUAGAGGAGAGAGAAAGCUUUUCGGUGCCAUCAGUUUGACCACUGCAUACUUCUGUUUAAAUUUGGGGGCUGCGUAGUAAAACAGAGACACAGAUCAAUUAAAGGUCAUAUCUCUUUUUCUAACAUAUCAUGAACCUGGAGGCGUGUCCGAUCUAAAGGAUUGUAUGCACUAGCAAGUUAGCAUGCAAUAAUACUUUAAUACUUUACUUUAAGUGGGCUUUCUGCAGCCUGCAAAGUAGUAGGAUUCAGGUACAGAAAAGGAGGCACUGACAUUAACCACAGGAAUGGCCCGAUGGAGGGAAGGGAAAUCAGGAAUUUACUGCUGAGCUUGCUGGUCAAAAUCAGGCCACAGAACCAACAAAAUGAAGUAUUUCUGCCUACAAGAUGUAAUUGAUUUAUAUACUUUUCUGUCAUGAGAUGUGGUGGUGGCCAGUCUCUUAGAUGUCUUUAGAAGGGGAAUAAACAAAAUUCAUAUUUAUUUCAUAGAAUAAUAGAGUAAUACAAUUGUAGAGUUGGAAGCGACCCUGUGCAAUGCAAAUUUCAACAAUUUAUAUACUGCUUUGCACCUAGUUAUUAACCUAUCUACAAUAAGGUUACAAAAAUGAUACCACAGGGAUAAAAACAGUAAAACGUAGCAUUAAAAUCAGAAAAAUGCACUUAAAAUGUCUGCUGAAAUAAAAUAGUCUUCACCAAGCAUUUGAAAUUCAACAAGCGUUGGGCCUCUCAGAUCUCAGCUGUGAGAGAAUUCCACAGAAUUGGGCCCACAGUACUGAACACAUAGCUUUUGGUGGGUAUGAACUAUUUGUCUAAGCAAUCGGGGACCAUGAACAGUCCCCAAAGACCUCAUUCAUUGAGCAGGGAUGUAAGGAAUCAGGUGGCACUUAAGAUCAGUAGUGUAGCAUGGGGCGGUUGCUCUGGGGGCAAAUUUGUCAGGGGUGCAAAAUUUCAACACCCAAUGCUGACUCAAUACACCUGUGUGCGUCCAUCGCUGGACUCCAUUGAAAACAGCUUCUCUGUGCAAACCAGGAAGUAACAGCUCCAGACAAUUUCAGUUUCGAUCUCCUGGGUGACACACACAGCUGACAUUCACAGUUGAAUGCGUAUGCGUACUCUGUCCAUUUCCCUCCCUCCCACCCCCACUCUCUGUGUAGCCCUGGGUGCUAGCAACCUGUGCUACGUCACUGCUUAAGAUAUUUAUGUAUGGCGUUUCUAGACCACAAAUACACAAAUUAAAAAAUAACAGUUAACAGAGCAUAGUAGUAGAAAAAGAAAAUAAAAUCAGCAUAGCAAACCCACAGCAGCACUGAAAACUUUUACCAAUUUUAACUGUUGUUUUGAUUCUUUUUAUUGAAAUUGUGCAUUGUCCUUUUUAUGAAAGCCGCCUUGGGAGGGUUUUUCCUGAAAAGGCAAGCUAGAAAUAUUGCACACACUCUCUUUGUUUUUUCCCCUGGUUCAUUUCCCUCAUAAGCCACAUCAAAACCAUGGAUUAAAACCAGCAGCCCUAAGGGUUUUUAAAAAGCGCUUUCUCCAACUGCUUCAGAAACCUGUAUGAUUUUGGUGAUCCUUAUUAUCUGCCUUUGGACAGUAAUUAGUUUGACUAGUAAAUACUGGACUUGGUUUUCCCAGGUAAUUAUAACUUCAGAAAAAAGCUAACUGUGGAGGUUAAUGCUAUUUGAGUAACUGUGGGGUAAAAAAGACCAGAGGCUGUUUUAUGCUUUGUAAUUCUCUGCUAAGAGUAUCUGUGAAGUUCUCUCCUCUUCUGACAAAGAUUUUUUGCUUUGUCUUAUUCCAUUGUGUGCCAUUGAUUCUUGCUAUCAUAUAUGCUACGUACAAGUGAAAUUGUGGACUUCAUAUUGGCCUUUUGUUGCCUGAAGCUGAUGUUCCUUAAAAAAAAGAAAAGAAUAAACCAACCAACACUUCUUACUAUAUAUCUGAGAUGCUUGACCAUUUAUUCUACUGCCCAAAUAGCUGAAUUUGUUUGGCAGUGCUUUUACUCCGAACAAGACUAAGUCUGCUUAUUUGGCAUGCAUGCGGUAGAUAAUACCUGCAACUGCAUUUUCUCUAGCGCUAUGUAAUUUUACUCUAUGCAAAACCCAUUAUCCCUUUUCUUUCAACUGGACACAGAGUGCAUUACAGCUGGGAGGGAGGAAUUCACUUCUGUGUUUCCUCGAGUCUGGCAAAGCGUGUCUUAAAACUUGUGAGUUCAGUUCCUUUAUCUCUUUAGGCAAUAAAGAAAAGCCAGGCUAGACAACAAGUGUAGAAAUCUGAGGAACCAAGCAAGGGGGAAAUUCAAACUGUUAGCAGCAUUGAAGGCAGCUGUGCUGCUUAAACACAAAGCAACUUGGAGGAGGAAAUCGCGGCACUGAAGCCUCUGAAAAGAGCAUUUGGAGUGAUAGGAAAGUGAAGAUGAAGUACCGUAUUUUUCGCUCUAUAAGAUGCAUCUAGUUUUUGGAGGAGGAAAACAAGAAAAAAAAUAUUCUGAAUCUCAGAAGCCAGAACAGCAAGAGGGAUCUCUGCGCAGUGAAAGCAGCAAUCCCUCUCGCUGUUCUGGCUUCUGGGAUAGCUGCGCAGCCUGCAUUCGCUCCAUAAGACACACACACACAUUUCCCCUUACUUUUUAGGAGGGAAAAAGUGAGUCUUAUAGAGCAAAAAAUACGGUAUUAUGCUGGAGACAUGGAGCAGACAGCAGGUCCCACAGAGUCGUAUGAAAUGCCUUAAGAAAACGAGUAAUAUAUUUCAUGCAAAAAUUGCAACAUUACAUAUACAAUGCCUACUCAGUGGCUGCUUCCGAACUCUUGGACUCCCAUCCUCUGGAUACUAGCUAAAGUUGGUACCCAAGCAUCUCCCAAAAACACUGCGGAACCUUAUUGUUUGCGUUAUUUUUUGACGAGGAUUAAUCCCGGCAGAGACUGGGUAACAUAGUGUAAUCAUUUUUAUUUAUGUUGUUAUUUGGUGUCUUUAAAAUGCAUUGGGUUCAACCUAGAAUAGCCAUAACAAUGUCCAAUUGAUAGUAUCUUUUGGGAGAUUGCUCUAGUUACUGCCCAUCUAGAGAGCAUAAAAUUUGGUCAGGCAUAAAAUCUAUGUCAAUACUCCCUUAGAAAGUGAAGUGCUGCCUUGAAUUAGGCGUAAAAUAAUGUGACAAAUCUACCUCUCUCCUAGGGUAUAUACUCACGAUCAUAGAAUUGUAGAGAUGGAAGGGAACCCAUGGAUCAUCUAGUCCAACCCCCUGCAAUGCAGGAAUAUCAGCUAAAGCAUCCAUGGCAGAUGGCCAUCCAACCUCUGCUUAAAAACUUCCAGUGAAGAAGAGUCCACAACCUCCUUAGGUCUCCCCCAACCUGGUACCUUCCCAAUAUUUUGGACUACAAUUCCCAUCCUCCCUGACCAUUGUCCAUGCUGCCUGGAACUGAUGGGAACUAUAGUCCACCAGGAAAGGCUACUCAAGAUCAUAUAACACCACUAAAGUAUCAUUUUAAACUAAUGACCAGGACAGGAAAAGCACCCCGCACCCAAGAUGUUAUUACCAUUAUGUUUGAAAUCUCAGCAUUUUGCCUUUUAAUUUCUCUCUCUCUCUCUCUCUCUCUCUCUCUCUCUCUCUCUCUCUCUGUGUGUGUGUGUGUUUAUGUAAAUCCUCUGAAAUGCACACAGUUACUUAAUGGUGCACUGAAAUGCAGACUUGAUAUUGUUCAAGAGCUUGUUGGAAGAAAUUUGGGGAAGAGGAUUAAUGGUUUUCCAGCUCAGUAUCAGUAGAAGGCUUUAUUGCCCCUUGAGCCACAGCUGGAAUUUUCAGAUAAAGCCAGCACUGGUUUGACUCCGAUUCCCAUUGAAAUCAACUAGAUUUUCCCCUUUCCUUUAGAAUGGAAAAUGAGAAAUAUAGAGAAUACUAUGUGAAGCUUAAUAAAACUCUGGGCUCAGUAUGUGCAUAUGUGACCAUGUAGAUAUAUAACAAUUAGGAAAUAGGAAAUUUUUCAACUCUACCAAAGGACUUCCAGGUUUGAAGAGACAAGAAUUGCUAGCACAGCACAAAUAUAUACAGUGGUACCUCGGGUUAAGAACUUAAUUCGGUCUGAAGGUCUGUUCUUAACCUGAAACGGUUCUUAACCUGAAGCACUACUUUAGCUAAUGGGGCCUCCUGCUGCCGCGCCACUGGAGCACGAUUUCUGUUCUCAUCCUGAAGCAAAGUUCUUAACCUGAGGUACUAUUUCUGGGUUAGCAGAGUCUGUAACCUGAAGCGUACGUAACCCGAGGUACCACUAUAUAUAUAUUGUGCCUGAAAUCUCCACCUACAACCAGAACAAGCAAAGAUGACAGUACAGCACAGGCAAGAACAAGCUGCGAUACUCUGUGUGAUGGACAGCAGAGCCAGACUGGAGUCUGGUGAUGCAGUCCCUCUGAAACUCCACCAGAAUGCUGGAGCCUCUUGGUUAUGGGCAACAGAGUCAACAAGCAAGGGGAAGAACAGCACUUUUGUCGGGCGGAGAAUAAAAGGAGCAGUUUCAGAGGGAGGGGAUUAGAUAGGGUUAGGUUUUGGAGAUAGGGCUGGAUUUGAGGCGUAGGACUGGAUUUGACUGAGGGAGAAUUGGUUCUGAGUAAAGCUAAGCAUACACAUUGACGAGACUAUCCAAAGCGAGAUGACAAAGCCUCACAGCUUGGAUAGGGAGACUGGGUUGAGGGUCUGGGGAAGGUAUUGUCUGGGCACAGGAGGAAUGGUGGAGACCAGCUCCCCAUCCUGACCCUUUCAUGGAGGAGGAAGAGGAAGACAGUAUAGGUUUGCAACAGGGGUUUGAGAGAGGUAGCAGCUCAAAGGCAGAUGAGGGGGGAAGCUGGGAAAUCAUGAGACAGCCGGAACAACACCGGCUGACAUGUUGCCAUUAGAAAGUAUUUCAGACUCUCCAUCUCCCAGAACCCGGCAAGCCUUAAAAGUAGGAGGGCAAAGAGCUCAAAGACAGAGGCCAUGUAGCAGCACCUGUAGAAGUGACGAAUGAGGAAGUCGGAGAGACGGGAUGUGUGUGGAGAUUCACUCGGGACAACGCCAUUAUCCAAGAAGCUGGGUUCUGUAGCCUCUCUCUGUAAAGACUGAAAUAAAAAAGGACAGUAAGAAACUUUUCCUUGUCUUUAUACUUUCCUGAGCAACCAGCUGGGAGCUGCUGACAACAUCCUGACAGAUAUACAGACAGGAGUGUUCUGGAAGGGCUGUGACGGAACUGCGAAUAUAGGCUACCUGGGCCUCAGUAUAGCCAGGAGGGGAGAGUUCUUCUAGGUACAGAAGACUCCCAAACCAGUAACAAAGGGUGAGUCUGUUAUACCAUUUAGAAGACCUCAGGUGUGGGAUUGUUAAGAGAGUGGGUAACUGAGGAGAAGUGCCCCUCGCUCAUGAAUCAAAGUAUUCAGCUGUGAAGGAAGCAGUAUGGUGUUGAAAGUUAUUUGAUUGUAACAUCUAAGUGACAGAAACGGAGUUGAGCAUUCUACCAUCUAUUCUAGAAACCUGAAUAUUCUAGAAGCCUGGCACUCUAAAUCAUUAAGUUUUCCCUCACACAAGUCCCCCACUAGAUAAUCUGUCGUAAAUUGUUGAAAUUUGUGUAAUUGGUGUACUGUGAGGUGGGUGUACUAUAUUUAAUUGGGGGCAGUUAGCGGGACUGGAUCCGCCCCAUUAUUAGUUGGUGGUAUUAAGUGGUGGGUCUGCUACACUCUACUUCAAUAUUCCUUCCCCAAAGCGCUGUGUUUGAACAGCUCUUGUAAAACCAUUCUACGUGAUUAGAAGCUAGGCCUGUCAGUCACAAAAGAGCUCCCUCCCCUUCAUAUUUAUCUUUUGUGGAAAGCUUGGGAACAAAUGUUUCAAAUGUCUGCAGUUUUUGCAAAUGUCCAAAUCGUUCCAAAUCGUUUUGGUCCGGGAUGCUUCAGAGAACUCCUACUUCAGCUGAGGCAAUUCUCACAUCUCUCCAGAGUUGCCUGCUUUUUGGGGGGAUUCGUUCAAAUCAAAUUCAGACCCCUGCUUGUCAGCACACUUACCUUCCUCAUGCAAAUAGCAUGUGAAGAAGCCUAUAGCCUAAGGUGAGUUCUUCUUAGUCGAAAAGGCAAGCUACAUUAUUUAGUCCUGUGUUCUUUCAGAGGGUUGGCUCCUGGUUCAUCAGAUCUUUUGCGACGGGGUGGUGUUCUGAAGGGUAAAGGAAGCAGAAAUCCCCCAUGGUUCCUGUUCCCUCCACACCUCUGUCCCACCUGGAAGGGAGAUAUCAUAACACCUGUGUCUGGGCGAUAUGCAGUUUCCAGAUAAAAGGGUUUUUUAAACACCAGAUGCUAAAAUUCAACUCCAGGUAAUUGGAGGAAAAGUAAGCAUCACACGUGAACAGAAUGUUUUACUCUUCUUACAACUUAAUAGCAGUCUAGCACCAUGAAGAUGCUAUACAAAAUGAGCAGUGAGUACAUUCCAAGUCACUGCCCUGGCAGCUAAACCAAGCAAUACCGUUUUAUUGCAAGUUAAAAUACAGAAGGGGAAGGGCUGUUUGGAUUAUUAUUUUUUUGGUACAAAUCAUGUUCAGUAUUUCUCUUUCAUUGUAUUAACAAAAAGGGAUUUGUUUGUGAUCUUUUGGCAAAAGAUUGCAUUGAACUUCUCAGUAGUUAAAAUUUGCAUGUACCUUUUUCUCCCUUUAUGGUUGUCAUUCUAUUAUUUUUAAAAGGCCAUAUUUAGAAUGACAGGUCUUCAAAGCAGGAAGAGAAAGGGGGGGAAAAGUUGGUGUUUGGAUCUAUUCAAUAUUCGGUGACAUUACUUACCUAAUGCAUACAAAUAUAAUUCAUUUUUUUUGACUGAUCCCAUAAUUACAAAAUUUGUUUAAAGCUGUUAUAUUAUCUCCUUAUUUGACACAAUAUGGCAUAAUUUUGUUAUAGUAUUGAAAACCAAAUAAGACAACUGCAGCUGGUAGCGUUUCAAAGAGAUAUUCCCUUUAAGAUGAAAUCAAUCCCGUUUCAAGUUUAUUCCCCUGCUUUAUGAUAGAGGCUCUAGGGGUGUAUUUUGCUGAAAAAUGUCUUUUUGAUUUUUGAGAAAUUCUUUAGAUUAAUAUGCAGCUGUCAUUGCAAGGCAAAUCUAGAUUUGCUUUUAUGUGCUUCCUCUUUCCCCAGGCUGCAACUGGUGUCUACCUCUCUUGGAGAAGCAGUCCAUUCAUUUGCGACUGGGGCUCUUUCGAACAGGUCAGCAGCAAAGGAUUCAUCAACUCAUAUUCAUUUGAAACGUGUCGCACAAGCCCGUAUUUACAUUGACUGGAUCUGCUGCUUUUGCUUACAAGGUUCAAUAUUAGUCCUUUAGUAGCUCAUUUUCAAUGCAACGUUAUGCCUGGGCGGAAAGAGGGGGGAAAUGCAAAGGGUGGUUUAUCCUUUUAUCCUUUUUUUAUUAUUAUUUCAGCAUACCUUUUGAAAAUGCAUUUAACUUGCAGAACAUAUACGAUAAACUUUCUAAGGGGAUAUGGUUGAGUAAAUAAGGGCUGGGGGCUGUAUGUGAUGCUUACAUUUUUAUGCUUAACUACAUUUCCUAUAGUACCAAACCAGUUUAUAUAUAUAUUUAUUUUGCUGUGUGCUCCUCACUUCACCCAGCAGUGAAAACUUCCAAAGGCAGAGUGACCCGGGUUUGGUUUCCUUUAGAGAACACUCAAGACAGUUUUUAUUGCAUUAAAAAAAAUAUGGGCUCUGUUUACAGAUACUAGUGGUGCCGCAAGGUCAUUUUAGACUCCUGAUUUCAUAGUCUUACUGGCUCCCCUCUUUAAAUGGUAACCUGUGUAACUUCACUUACUUGAAAAUGUGUCAAUCCAGCCCUGCCAUGUUUGGGAAAACUCCUGCUCAUUUUGCUGAGUGGGGCCCUGGAAAACUGCCCCAAAUCACAGAAUCACAGAAUUGUAGAGAUGAAAGGAAUCAUCUCGUCCAAUCCCCUUCAGUGCAGGAAUCUAGUCCAACCCAACAUGGGGCUCGAACCCACAACUAAUGAGAUUAAGAGUUUCAUGCUCUACCAACAAAGCUGUCCCUGUGUUGGCAGCCCAAAACCCUACCCAAUAUUCUGCAAAAGCUGCUGUAUCUGCCCUUACUCUCCCUAUGUCUCUCACACAUUUUUAAGCAUUCAGGUAGGUAGCCAUGUUGGUCUGGCGCGGUCGAAAUAAAUAAAAAAAAUUAAAAAAUGGUCCAGUAGCACCUUAGAGACCAACUAAAUUUGUUCUGGGUAUAAGCUUUCGUGUAUCUGAGGAAGUUUGCAUGCACAGAAAAGCUUAUACCCAGAACAAACUUAGUUGGUCUCUUAGGUGCUACUGGACAAUUUAUUUAUUUAUUUAUUUCGACACUUUUAAGCAGUCUCUCCCCACUUAGCUACAGAAGGGGUCGCUAUGGAUGCCCCUACUAAUUGGCAGAAUGAGCCAUUCGCCUUAGGUUGCAGAUACUUGGGCAAAGGACAGCAGCAGCCUCCUGGGUCUCUUCUGAGCUCCCCUGCCAUUCCCCUCUGUUGCCACACAGCCUGUCUUGGGACCCGUAAUCUGACCUGCUGCUUCAGGUACAGGAGAUGAUGUCGUCCUGUCAUCAAUGUUGAACCUUCCAAUCACAUCAGGUUCUGUAGGUGGAAUGAGGCACCAUCUUGUCCUUUGCCUUAGAUGGCAGAAUGUCUUGGGCAGGCCCGGGGUGUCACCGUCUCUAAGUUCUGAUGCGUAUCUCAUUCAAAACAUGCAGAUGAGAUUCCCAUCCGUUACCAGACACUGAGAAAAUUGUAACCAACUUUGGUGAUCACAUAGGGUCCCCAGAUGUUUCACCAUCUAUUGAUCCCUGUGCCACCACUUUAUUUCUUGCUGCCACCACCCAGGCCCUACCUGGUACAAUACUGAGUCCAGUCAGGGUUAAAUUGGAACAUAAACUUUUGUUUAUUUAUUGCAGUUUAACAAGCAUGUGGUUUCAUAAACGGUAUCGGUCAAUUACAAUCACGGAGUGCCUAUCCAGACCUAUAACUUCCGCUACCUGCUCUCACUCACUAAACCACCUCUCAGAUAUUUACUUGUCUUCCUAGCCCCUAACUGUUCCUGACUCAGCUUAUUUCACAACACUAACUCAACCUACCCACAAACUCUAUCCCAAUUCACUCCCACUCCAACCAACCACCCAACUCCCAACGAACUCCUCCCUUUGCCCCUCCCAGAGCUGGUUUUAUAGUCCCUCUGACUCCACCCCCUGGGUCCUGAUUGGGUAACCUUUUUAACUAUUUCACCACCAGCACUCUCAUAUGUUAACAUCACACCAACUAUUCUGGGCUAUUAGCAAGCAAUCUCCCUAACAAAGGCCAACCACUUGCUGCAAUGACGCCUAUUUUUCUAGGAGGUCCAGGAUACCUCUGAUUCUACGAGGAGCCAGUUCUCUUUAAAAAUAAAAAUAAAAAUGAGCAUUCCAACUGAAAACAUAAAAACUCAAAUUCAAUUUAAAAGCACUGAAGGAGGGGAGGCAGCUGCACAGAUGGAUACAGUUCCCAAUGCAUUCUGAGGAAAUUCUUUAUCAAGGGGGAAAUGUUACGCUUCUUGACAAAAACUGCUUGGGACAUUUCCCCUCUCUGUUGCAGCACACCUAACAGGAAACAUGUGCAGCAGUUGUCCAUGAGGAAGCUUGAUUCCAUAUGCAGAUCUUCUGAGUUGGAUUGGGGUGAGGCUGUGUAAACUCCAACUGUGCAUUCAUAAGCUGCUGUUCUAUGAGCUGCCAUGGAAUGUUUUAAGCAGCAUAGACAUUCUAAACGUAUCUUUCGAUACCUCAACACCUUUCUGUCAUUGAACGUGGUGUGAUGAGAACAACAACAGAGUGCGCCUCUGGGGGUGAAGUCAAACCCACUGUGCUAGCAGCGCCAAAGUGACCUCCUCAAGGCGAAAACCUGGGCAGUGUGUAUGGAGCUCCUGGGCUGCCCAAAUGACAAGUCCCACCUCUCGGCCUUGCUGAUGUAGACAAGAGCAAUACACUUGGCACCAGCGGGGCUGCAGGAGCUGCCAAAGGAAGGCGUACAAGGCACCAUCCAACCGUCUUAGGGACUCCACUCUAGAUUUGUGUAGGGUUUACCCAUUAGACUUUUCUUCUCCCAAAGAUAUCCCGCAAAGCAGUAGAGGUUUAGGAUCAGAGUCUUCAUUCUAGAUGGGACACCUUCCCAGGUUGGUGAGACCCAUCUGCCCCUCACAUCCCUCUUCAGCAUAUACAGAAAGUGCCUUCUUGAUCAUUAGACCCACUAUUGAUCCCAUCCACUCAAUCCACCGGAGCCUGUCUUUGCAUGUGGGGGAAGUCUCUAAUUCUCCAAGGGUUUGAGACCCAUUGGUUACCCUCACCUGGUUUAGCCGGCCAGUCGAAGCUGUUUCCAGGGUGUGGCUGCUGUCACAUGCUGACAGCUUCUGUGAGCCACAGGUGAGAGCUGGGUUCAGGAUGGGGACCAAAGGUGGACAAACUACUCCAGAAGGAACAUGACAUGUCCCCUCACUAGAGGUACUACCCCUCCUCCAAUGCCCCAUACACCCCAGAAUAUUAGUAGACAUAAUAAUAUGCCAUAAGUUUUCGCAGACCAGAGUCCACUUCAUCAGAUGCAUCGUGCAUCUGUUGAAAUGGAUUAUGGUUCACAAAUAUUCUUGCCAUUCUAAAUUGGUUAGUUUUCAGGGUGCCUCACGACUAGUUGCUGCAUCAGACUAGCAUGACUACCCCACUGGAAAUUGUUAGAAACCAUUAAUAAAUACUGAUUUCAUUCAUUCAGUGCAUAGUCUGCCUCAUUCAAACAUCAUGUGGCUGACCACAUGUGAAAAGGUUGUAUAUAUUAUGCACCAAUUACAAGAUAAAAGUUUACAGAUGUUAAAAUUCCAUACCAUAUCAUCUUAUCACUAGCCAGGAAAUCAAUACCAAAAACAGUCUUACAUUGCUUCUGAAAGAACCUCAACACUGGGCUUUGACAUUAUGAAGUAUAUAGUAAAACUCUUAUUUGCUAAUCUGGUACAUCAGUUUUUCACAAAGCCUAGUCUACUAUUUAUAGCCAAGAAAGCUUUUGGAAUGCUUCUAGAUCCCAACAUUGUUUCGCCAGAAAUGUUUCUGUGUUGGCUGAAUGAUUGUAUCGAUUCUUCUGUCUUAUAAGAGUAUCCAUCCAAAUGAUUUUAGUGGAUCCAAAAUGUCCACAGAGUCAAAAACCAGAGGAUAUAUAUGUGUAAACUCAGAGCUCUUGGUGGCUCUUGGAAUGUUUCAUGCAAAAACAGUUUAACCAAACUUGACUCAUUCACAGUGGCAUACUGAGAUUGUCCCCAUCCUUCUGCCCUCAGAAUAAACAGAAAGAACGAGGCCAGGCCAAGCCAGGGCCAAGUUUCCAAUGACCAAGUUUGUGGAGAUUUGCAAAGGCAAAAGUGUCCUAUACGUGUCUCCUCAGGAAAAACCCACAAGUCCCACUGAGUGGGACUUACUUCCAGGUAGCUUCCAUUGCAAUAUUACCAUAUCAUUUUUUAAAAGAAAACAAAGCUUUCAGAUAAAUAAAUUUACUGUGCAAUAGAAGUUACACAAUUAAAUUGGGGGGGGGGGAUAUAAUAACAUAUUAAAUAAAAAGUGUAGAAUGUUAACACACUUUUGCAGUUAGAUAAUGAAAAAUGAGAAUGCUGUGAAUUGCUUCAUGAAUUAUCCAAACAGGAGCCUGAAGGCAUGGUGGAUACAAGCCACAAUAACUAAGCCUGUUGUCUCUGUGACUUGCGGAUCAUUUUCAGGAGAGCUUGAAGCUUAAAGGACAUCAGAAUACUGGACUGGAUCCCCAUCACUGUAUCACCUACCAACUGUAUACAACGCGGCUGUCUCCAUAUAUAUUGGCCAUUGCAUCUGAAUUCGCCCUGAAUUCCUGAGGGUGAUGCUCAGGCUGGACAAAUUUGAGUUGUCCAAGUUUUUGCAUCAGUCGAUGAUAAGGAUGCUUCCUUCUUGCAUUCACUAAAAACAAAUAUUCAUGCACAACAGGAGCUUCACGGCUUGCGCAAGCUGCCUUAUUUACUUUAAUGAUAGGAGCUCCUAAAACAAUAUUUAUGAAUAUUCGCCUUUUUGAUGAUCCUAUCAUUUAUGGUUUCUUCAGUUUGUGUACUUUUCUAGCUGCUUUGUGAGGAUACUAUCCUGAAAAUCAGCAUGCAAGUCUACUAAAUAAAAUUGAUAAAUAAGUGAACAAUUGUGCUGAGAAAUCUUGACAAAAAAAGAGGCGUUUGUUGGUGCUGCCAAAAACAUUCACUGAAAUGAGUUAGUAGUUUUGGCUCAGCCUGGAUAAUAAUAAUGUAAAAAUCACAUUGUGUAAUUAAUUUAGCACAGACCGAACACAUUAACAAAGUUACACAGCUCACAUGACAAUUGAUAAAUGUUACCCUUGGCACCGGUUCAGUAUUUCUUUUUUGAUAACGCUGCGCACGGAAGUUGGCCACUAACACAUGGUUUGCAUGAAGUCGAAGUCACAUGCAAGUUGUACUUUCAAUGCUGUACAUUACUCCAGAUUAUAUAUUUGUCAUGUUAGUUAUUAAGCCAAGAUGGAUUACGGUGCCUUGCUUCUAACAAGCCGUUGCAAGACAUUCCCCUUCACUCUAUAGACCAUGUUCUUGCAAGCUCAACUACAUUGUUUUCCAAUACUUCCUAAUCACGCUAUACAAUAUACGAUGUAAAAUGAUUCCCAUUUAUAUCAUACAAUAGAUAGCAGUGUCGUUUAAUUAAUUUAAACUAAAGAGGAAUGAUCAGCAUUCACUCACAAACCUUUCCUUUGGGAUGGUACAUGCAGGGAAAACCCCCCUCAUUUUAUACCGCAGGCGGAGAAAAGCAAGGCUUAGGAAGAUAAUAUUUGCCUGGGAGGAACAGAGACUGCCACCGUCUAAGUUGUUAGUAUGGCGCUGUGCUUACUGAUUUGAGGGAGGAGUCCUCAAUAUUUUUAUACUGAGAAUAGCCUCCCUUAUUUUGCCCUUCCUGCUUCAACAUCACAUUGAGUGGCAAAGCCAGAUGAGACCAUAUAAGACUGGUCCUGUGGAGCCUGCCUUUGUUGCUGGUACACUGAUGAGCCCAUUCAAGAUAUUUACAUGAACAUGCAGAUCUCUAAAUGACUUGGGGCCCCGAUAUCUGAAGGAAUACCUGCCUCUUUAUUGGGGAUGGGGAAAGAAAUUCAUUUAAGUUUUCAUUUAAAGGCGAACCAACUUAAUUCUUGCUUUACCAAACUAUCCAUGAACUGAAGCACAGCCAGCCUUUGAAAUUUGCAGUUCUCUGAAUUUUGCAGUUCUUCAGCCAGCUAACAUGUACAAAAAUGCAUAUGCUAAGAUAAAAUGCAUAUAUUAGUGAAAAUAUUAAAACUGAGUUAUGUUAGAAGAAAUUGCUUUGCAAAAACAUGUACAUUAGGCAAAAUUGCAUGUGAAUGUGUGUAUAUUAGGACAAAUUAACUGGCGAAUUUUCAUGAGGACUUUUUUUUUUAACAUUGCGGCAAUGUGGAUAAUUGCACUUAUGAGUGGAAAAAUGAGAAACUGAAAGAAACCAAAAUGGAUAGAUUCACCCAUCCCUACUCUCUAUCACACAUUAAGAUCAGUGGAAGUUGUCCUUCUCAUUGUUCUCCCAUCCAGUGGCUCUCAAAGACUUGUUUGUUUAGUCGUUUAGUCGUGUCCGACUCUUCCUGACCCCAUGGACCAGAGCACGCCAGGCAUUCCUGUCUUCCACUGCCUCCCACAGUUUGGUUAAAACUUAUGUUAGUAGCUUCAAGAACACUGUCCAACCAUCUCGUCCUCUGCCGUCCCCUUCUCCUUGUGCCCUCCAUCUUUCCCAGCAUCAGGAUCUUUUCAAGGGAGUCUUCUCUUCUCAUGAGGUGGCCCAAGUAUUGGCGCCUCAGCUUCAGGAUCUGUCCUUCCAGUGAGCCCUCAGGGCUGAUUUCCUUAAGAAUGGAUAGGUUUGAUCUUCUUGCAGUCCAUGGGACUCUCAAGAGUCUCCUCCAGCACCAUAAUUCAAAAGCAUAAAUUCUUCGGCGAUCAGCCUUCUUUAUGGUCCAGCUCUCACUUCCAUACAUCACUACUGGGAAAACCAUAGCUUUAACUAUACAGACCUUUGCUGGCAAGGUGAUGUCUCUGCUUUUUACGAUGCUGUCUCAAAAACUACGUUACAAAUAUAACUAAGGGUAAUUCCUCCAAUUGCUCAUCAUCUUCAACUGAAUAUCAUGCUAUCUCUGAUGAAUGAGUGGCUGAAUGAAUGAUGAAAACAAACUAGGUUACCCUACCUAAUAAAGAAUAUUGGAUAGUCCCUGGUUAUGGUCUCAAGGUGCAUGACAAAAUUUAGCAGUGUUUGGUUGUGGUCAGUAUUUGGAUGGAUGACUGCCUCAAAACCACAUGUAUGCUGCCUUGGGUUCCAUGAUGAAAGAAAGGCAGGGUAGAAAUGUAAGAAAACAAGAGUGGCCAAUGCAUUCAAAUACAGGCUUCAUAGAUUAAAUAAUAAAUAGCAUAAGGGGGGAAUUUAGGGAGGCUAGGGCAACACUUCUCUUGUGCCUGUGUUUCAGACAUAUCAACAUUCCUGAAGGAGGUGGAGGACUCAUCAGUAUUUCACAGGUUACCCCACCAUCUGUAGUGAGGCUGUUCACAAUCCAUAAUAAUGUAUUUUUACAUUAUUGUAAUGCCCUACCAAAGGAUGCUCACCUAGCCCUGAUUAUGCUAUCCUUUAAGCACCAUGUGACUACCCCUUUUAUUUUUGUCAAGGCCUUUUAGCUGCUGUUGAUAAUGUGCUUAAAAAAAUCUUCCUAGCUUGUUUGUUAAUGCUCUGCUGCUUUAAUAUCAAUGAUGGGCUGUUUUAAAUUGAUUGCUGUGUUGGCCACUCUGAGAACCCUUCAGGGCUGAAGAGCAGGGCACAGAUUUGUAAACAAACAAACCAGCAAAUAAAAAAUGCAACCAUGACUAAUUCCAUUAAAUACACGCGUGUUAAGGGAGGGAGUUUCUCUUGAAGAUUAGGCCUUUGAAGCAUGUUGUGAAAGUACCUCCCACACUUUCCAGUCUGAAACUUAAAAUGGUGCCCUUUGUUCAUUUAAUGGAAGGAAUACAUUCUAUGUAAAUGCCCAAUAUUUCCCCCCCGAAGGUCAUAUGCUUUCCCCAUGAAACUGCAUUCUCUGAUAAAUCUGCCUAAUUUUAUGGCUGAAGUACUAUUGCAGAGAUAAUGCUUUAAUUACAAACACUGUGUGUGUUUGUUUUUUUAAAACCCACCUCUGAAAAAAAGGUUCAUUAGAAAUGUUUAUGGCACACUAAGCAACAUAACACCAAUCGCCUGGAGUAGGGUUGUAUUUUAGCAUUCUUGUCCCAGCAGAUUCCAUUUUUAUAUUAUGGAAAUUUCUGCAGACCUUAGGCCAUGAGUAUUGAACAAUUUUCACCUUUUGUGGCUUCUCAUUGACCUACAGUACAAUAUAGGGGGUUUUGAACAUAAAAGAAUAAUUGACAACCCUUAUAUUACUCCGAGAGAUUGCUUACCCAUGUGGUAGGGGAAAAAACUUUUAAACUUACAGUUAAUUAGGAGUAUGUUAUUGAUGACAAACCUUUAGCGCAUUAGAGAGAGGGCGGCAGAGAGAAAGGGAGAGAUUAAAUUACUUUCUUUGUCAAUUGUUAUUUAGAUCAUUUCUCAACAAUCGGUUCUUUGGUUUCUUAUUCGUACCAAGGUUUCAUUACAAUGUUUAUGCUCACCACAAAUGUUAUUGUUAUAGUCAGGCCAAUUAUUUCUAAAGGCAAUCUUACAUGUUAAAAGAUGGGACAUCUCUGAUCGAGUCAUAGAGUAAACCCAUUGCAACCAAUGGGUAGAAUCUGACGUCACGCUAAGAUGUUUGUUCUGUCAGGGCAAGCUUUUCUUGCAGAUAUUCCCUCUUCUCCCAACCUCACCAUGGUCUAGGACUUCUUCCAACCCUCUCAAGGAGAUCUGGGGAGGACACGGGGAUCAUGUGGAGGAGCAGAAGGGAGAAAGUCUUGUUGGGUUACUUAGGAUUCAUUACACUGGCAUCUGUUAGCACAACUUAGCUGAAUCCAGCCCAUUGCACUUAAGCUUGCCAUGCCUUAAGUCUGUUGAUUACAGUGGGUCUAUUGACUUAGUGCAGUAUUUCUCCUGAGAAGGAUAUGCAAUAAUUCUGAGCUCCUUCACUCACUCAUUCAUUUCAUGCAGAUUGAAACCCAGGUCUGCAAGGUUGGUAGCUUUUGCUCACUACUCUUCAUUGUAUCAGAUCUAUCACACUAGCGGUGACUAACAUUCCCUCCACCCCACAGCAGCUAUUUCUGAAGCAACCAUGCAGUGGGAUCCCCAUAGUGAAGGAUUGUCUGAAAUGAUCCAUGAUUCCGAUAAAUGAUUAAUGGUACAAUACAUUGCCAUUGCAUUCAUUCUAUGGAAGUGGAGCCUGACAAGGUAAUUGUGGGUUCCUAAAAGAAGUGGGAAUCUCAGAAGAUCUUGUUCAACAAUAGUCAUCCCGCUCUAGGACCAGCACACACUGGCUACAGUCCCUCAAAAUACUUAAUUUUGUCCUCCAUGUAAGGCGCAUAUGAACUCUUUUCAUUGGAGACCCUUUCAUAUAAAUAUUGAAGAAGUCGUUGCACCGUGGGCAGGAAAAAACCAGUGUUUAUGAGUGCUGUGAAAUGAAAGGAACAGAGGUAACCAACCAGUGCGUCCAACUCUGGCACACUGCCAUCAGGAAUCAAAUGUCAUAAGUUGUGGCAGUGUGUUGCGAAUGAGCCUCAAGUCAAUUCCCAGCUAUUCAGGAAUGUCCUAAACAGCUGCCAAAAUGAACAAUACAAUGAUAUUUCUUAAGAACUUGGACCCAGUUUCUAGGACGUUCUCUCUCUUUCCUUGGAGACCUUCCUUUGGAACCAGAGUUGCUAGAUGGAGUGGCUUUUCCUUGUAAUGACUCUGAACACAAUCGCAGUAGUGUAGGAAUCGACGGAAUGAGAAUUGUUAACCCAACAGACAAUGAAUUAACCAAUCAAAGUGUGCCAGAUAGUUCAGUUAGUAGAGCAUGUUGGGUGUAAGAUUCCUGCAUUGCAGGGGGUUGGACUAAAUGACCCUCAUGGUCCCUUCCAAAGCUACAGUUCUAUGAUUUUAUGAAGUCGAUAGUGAAGUCAUUCUGAUUUUUACCAGUUCAUUGUAAGGGCUGUAUCCAAUAUUCUUCAUACUCAAAAUAGACCCUUUGAAAUUAGUGGACAUGAAUAACUUGGGUCCAUUAGAUUCAGUGGGUCUAACUCUCUUAUUUCCUGUUGAUGAAAAUCUACUCUUGAGUAAACAUAGUCCAGGUACACGGGUGGCGCUGUGGGUUAAACCACUGAGCCUAAGACUUGCCGAUCAGAAGGUUGGCGGUUCGAAUCCCCGCGACAGGGUGUGCUCCCGUUGUUUGGUCCCUGCUCCUGCCCACCUAGCCGUUUGAAAGCACGUCAAAGUGCAAGUAGAUAAAUAGGUACCGCUCUGGCGGGAAGGUAAACGACGUUUCCGUGCACUGCUCUGGUUCGCCAGAAGCGGCUUAGUCAUGCUGGCCACAUGACCCGGAAGUUGUACGCCGGCUCCCUCGGCCAAUAAAGCGAGAUGAGUGCCGCAACCCCAGAGUCGGCCACAACUGGACCUAAUGGUCAGGGGUCCCAUUACCUUUACCUUUAAACAUAGUCCAGUCAAUAUAACCACACAUUUUCUUUUUACGUUAGUGUGUGUUGGAGGAAGGGGAAAUCCAUGAGUCAAAAAGUUACCUCACACCCUUGAGUAAAUAGCUUUUGAGUACUGCAUUCAGUCAGCUAACAGUGUUUGUGAUAAACAUACCGGCUGGCAUCUUAUAACUGAAAUUAAAUUCCUUCAUUGUGCUUUGUAGUCUGCUUUUAUUCUCCCACCAAAAUUUAUAGUUUCUUCUCUAUACUGUAAGCGCUAUAUUUGGAAUACAUUAGUGAGCUAUUUUCGUCAGUCCAGGUUGUAUGGUCUAUCACAUGGAAACGUUUGUUUUUCUUCCUUGGGAAGGAUAAUGCAUAUUGAAGGCCCAGGUUAGCCUCCUCCUCAGUAAAUUAACUAUGGAAAAAUCUUUCAAUGCACCCUUUCAUUUAUUUGUUGUAUUUAAAUUGAACCACACCACUUUCAUUUGGUAUAAUAAAAGAUCGUCAUCAGUAUUAACUGGGUUCGAUAUAAGUGGUUUGCCUCUCAAAUGUAUUAUAGUUCAUUUCAUAUUUAGUGAUGUAGUAAUAGCUUAAAUUGUACAUUGAGGUCAAGCGCUGGUAUUGAUCCUUUAAAAUAUAAAUAUUACUAUUAAUUAGACAUAGGCUUGGGCAACUUACCUGACCUUAUCAGUUAUUCUGAUGUACUAUUAGAAAACAAAACAGAAAUAGCAAAACAACAAAAAUGGGAUAUAACAGGAAAAUAGGGUUGACCUUUACUAAAUAAAUUAGCAGUACAUUAGCUUCUAGAAUUAGCAGUGAAUGAAAACUUUUAAGAAUAAGGUAAAGAAAAACAAGAAAAGGAAGAGUGAUAAACAAUACAAAAGGAGAAUUGUACUUUGCCCAGGAUAUAGCGGAAUAUUUUCAAUUUUCAAUUGUGAUCCUGUCAAGGUUUCUUUUGAAGUUCUAGUGAAGCUUAAAGGGUUCAUUGGUAAGAGAAGCCAUCAUUAGCCCUCUGAGUGGAGGGUGCCAGUGCCCAGGGUGAGGGCAGGAGGGUUGGACCUCAAGUUUAACAGGAGCCCUCAGAUUUAGACACUUGUGUUUAUUAUUAUUAUUAUUGGCAUUUUGAAAGUUUUGCAACUUGGUUUUUAUGAGCACCAGACCAAAUUAUGGCAUGCCCUCUCAGAGCUUAGAGCUACAAAUUUAGGCAAAUAAUUAAUGCCAGGAGGGCAGAGUUGGGUGGGCACACUUGGUAUCAGGUGUGGGAUGAGCUGGCAGAUUAACUGUUUCCAGGCACAGUUAUGACCAACACAGCCCUAUGUAGCUUGGAUCCAGGCUAUUUGAAGGAUUGUAUCUUCUCUAUAUGAGCCUGCCCAUGUUUUGAGCUCUUCUGGGGAGGCUUUUCUCUCAGUCCCACCACCUUCACAGACACAUGUGAUGGGGACAUGGCAGAGGGCCUCCUUGGUGGCUGCUCCCACUUGUGGCACUCCCUUCCAUCUGGGGUAGACUGGCUUCCUCUCUGCUUUUCUUUCACCAGCAGGCAAAUACUUCCUUGUUCCAAUAGGACUUUGGCCACUAAAUGGCUGUUGUGGCAUUAGCUGUAGGUCAAGUAAUUAAACUUAUUGGGUAAUAUCCCAGUAAGUCAUUGGUCUCAAAGGGUUUACUCUGAGUAGGAUUACCAUCAGAUAUCACCUGUUAUGUGCAGAGACGUACCCAGGAGGGUGGCCUUCUCAGUCAUGGGUGCCUAACACAAUCACUGUCUUCCCUAGAGAAGCUCGCCUGCUGCCAACGCUUACAACUUUUCAUUACCAGAAAAUGACUUUUUAAAAGUUGGACAACUGUUCCAGCAUGUUUUAUACCUGAUCUGAGUUGUGUUUGGACAGGUUAUGCUAGAUUUCAAUGAUUUUACUGGCAGUAUGGCCGCUGCUCUGAAGCUGCACAUCAUUCUUUGUGAGUUGUUUUAGAUAGGAAAUUGUGCCUUCAAUAACGCUUAGUGAAGGGGAGUUUCUAAAUUUACCAGACCCAACAAAGUUCCUUUGUUGCACAUUCCAGAUUUAUAAAAUCUGCAGUCCUGAGGACUGAGGAUAGUGUGGAAGAGAAGGGGGAAGACGCUGCGGCAAAAUGAAAAGGCCAUAUUGAAAAUAAUAGUGCCACUUAAUCCAGGGUCAUAAAAAACCUAGAAAGAUGCUGUUGUCCUUCUGCAGUUAAAAGGAUUAAAUGCAAUGAAGAGGUAGCUUGGCUACAGCCACUUGCCCACAGCACUAGAUUAUCUCUUUGUAGCAUUUACACAACACCGCCGCACUUGCCAAUUGCCAUGUGCUGUAUUGAUUGUGUAGCGUACCUGUGUUUGAGCUCUGUAAGAAUGCAGCAGCCCAAAUAUAAAUUCCAUAUGAUAUUCGUCCUGCCAGGGGAUUUUUACCUUUGGGUUUGAAGGUGACAGGCCAAAUCAUGCUUUUUCUUGGAAACUCUCUUUUUUCCAGGCUUACUGGAUCUUCUCUUCCUCAGACACCAGAAAUCAAACUGUUCCACAAACCACCCAGGGUCACGUCUUACACCCUUCAAUAGCGCAGAGCAAGAAUAGAGGUCCUGUAAUAAACCACAGAGGUAUUAAUUACCACAGCUUUAUCAGAAGGAGCUAUUAGUCCUUUGGUCUGGAACUCAAAUACAGUGUUGUGUUAUUUUAAGUUGCCAUGCCAUUCGCCCUCUGGGUUUAUUCCCAUGGCCAGGCCAUUUGGCUCCUCAUCUCCACACACAAUGCUGUUUUGUUUGCUCAAUGCGGGUGAGGGAAAGUUGUUGCCUCAGAGCCAAUUGCAAUUCAAAAACUGACCUCCUUGCAUCUCAGCACACUUCAACCCACCAAACUUAAUCUGCAUCUUCAGACCAUUUCAUUGUACUUGUUUUUCCUUUUCUUUGGCCAAAUUAAAUGAGGUGAAAUUGUCUUCCUUUUGAAAAAGGGAGGGAGGGGACGUUAAACAAGAACCUCCUGAGAAAGCUAGGCAGGCUUUUCAUUCAUUCAUUUCUUAAAGUAAGGUUAAUUUAGUUUCCAGUGGGUGCCUUUUUUCUGAGCCUUGGUAGACUGAGAAACUACGUCAAGCAGGUAUUCAGGGAACACGUCAGGAAAGGAGCAAGUCUUGCUCACUGGCCACACCUCCAUGCUAACACACUUGCUGGCUACACACCCAAAGACCCUGCGUUGUUUGUUUCCAAAGGAGCAUUGAGUGUGUCCCAUCAGCACAAGGAUUUCCAGUUGCACAAUGCAUUUCCGUUCCCACAGACCCCUAAAUCUGUUGUAAGGGUUCCGCCAACCCUCUGGGGAGAACGUGGAGGAAGGAGAGGCAGGAAAGUCCCAUUGAGCAGGUAGAAAUCCUGGCUCUGACAGCACAGAUUGGUUGAAUGCCCUAUGUACAGCAUUAGUGUGAAAGGGGCCUUCUAUGCUCAGGCUCAAAUUGCUGUGAUGUAUAUGAGUAGAGCUCCUCCAUGCCAUUGGGAAUCUCAGCUAAGCAAUGUUCCGGAUUCGAUAGCGAAGCUGAAGAGAUGGGAGCAGGAUUUCACAUGAAUGUUGAAUGCGUGACUGAAGGGGCAUGGCCAAGCACUAUAAUAAUAAUAAUAAUAAUAAUAAUAAUAAUAAUAAUAAUUUAUUUAUACCCUGCCCAUCUGGCUGGGUUUCCCCAGCCACUCUGGGCGGCUCCCAACAGAAUAUUAAAAACACGAUAAAACAUCAAACAUUAAAAACUUCCCUGAACAGGGUUGCCUUCAGGUGUCUUCUAAAAGUCAGAUACCGGUAGUUGUUUAUUAUCAAGGGCGAGACAAUUAGACACAAUCCCACUAAUCCCUCACACGUUCACUGAAUGUGGGUGGUGGUGGUUCUGUGCAUAUUUAUUUGUUUGUUUCAUAUCUUAUUUCGGUUUUCUGAUUUCUGGUUUUAACCUUUUAAUACUUUUUUAUUGUAUGGUUGUAUGUAGGGUUGUCUUGAAUCACUGACAUUUCGCUUAUGAAUGAGACUUUCCUAUUCUCCCCCAAAUAAGGGUGCCACUCUGUUUCUGUGGUUGGUUUUCUGCUUUUGUUUCAGGGCUCACCCCAUGGAACAGGUAGCAGGCUGAGGACACAUUUGACAACUGUGUACACGCGGCCAAAAGAACCAAAAAGUUCUCAGUGGUUGGAGGGUAGCAACCAUCAAGCAGAAACAUAUUCAGCCUAGCAGCGCAGAACAGGAGUGCUUGAAAUUUCCAGUCCAGAAAUGCACACGUACAGAGCCCUCUUCUCGUGGAGAGAAGCCCUGCCGUGGGGCCUAGCCCCAGCUUUUUCAAAGGUUUGAAGCAGCAGAUAAUCAAUGUGAAAGUCCAAAUUGCAACAUCUUAAGCCAUCAUUUUUCCAUGUAAUGCCUCAGAAAAGUAAGGUAGGGUGGGAGGGAGGGAAGAGGAGGGAAGGGGGAAGAGAAUGUUAAAUGACAGAGAACCAGUUCAGCUUUCAAAGAAUAAGUGUAGCCCCAAGUGAAAAACCUGACAUAAAUGCAACAAGAUGGCAAAAUAAACAAAGCCUGCUAUUCUGAAGUUUCAACGGUUAUUCAUCAUUGUCAAGAGUUUCUUUACAGUAUAACCAUUACAGCAGUUCAGAAAACUGGCAGGUCAUCUCAGAUAUUAUUUCUAUAUCUUAAGGAUAUCCUUUUCAGGGAUGUGGGUGGGGGAGAGAACCCAACAAUCUAAGACCUGCACAAGGGGGGGAAAGUAUAGCAUUCAACUAUAUCGUUUCUUUUACAGAUGACUUUUAAAGAUCAAAACACCUCUAAUUAUGGCAAGUGCGAAGAAGUAAAAGAAAAAUACUGCGGUGCCUAUUGCUCCAUCCUCUGGCUGCGAGGUCCCUGUCAGAUAUUUAACGUCUAUAUGAAGCCUUUGAGUGCAAUCAUUAGGGCUAAGUCUUUAGUAUUGUAGUCCCCAUUUUAUGGGACUCCAGUUGAGGUCAGGCAGGCUCCCUCCCUGUUGAACUUCCAGCACCUACUAAAUACUGUGGUUUGGUUUUAUAGUUUGAACCGAUUUUUAUUUUUUGUAUUGCAUCUUUGUGAGCUGCUUAGAUAUCAGUUAUUUAAAUUAAAGAAGUCAUGUUGCUCAGUGUCAGGAUAAGGUUUUCCUGUACUUGAGUAAACUAAUAGAAAAAGUAAUAAUAUAUAGUGGUACCUCGGGUUAAGUACUUAAUUUGUUCCAGAGGUCCGUUCUUAACCUGAAACUGUUCUUAACCUGGAGCACCACUUUAGCUAAUGGGGCCUCCUGCUGCCACUGUGCCGCUGGAACACGAUUUCUGUUCUCAUCCUGAAGCAAAGUUCUUAACCCGAGGUACUAUUUCUGGGUUAGCAGAGUCUGUAACCUGAAGAGUCUGUAACCUGAAGCAUAUGUAACCCGAGGUACCACCGUAUUGUUAUUACUAAUUGGGUUACAACAUUUAACAUCCCACACUGUGAACUACUGUUCCAGCAGUGAUUUGGCAGCCACCGUCACAUUUGAUUGUCAGAUGCCUCUCAAAGACCUUUUUAUGUAGUUAGUCCUAUGCAACCAUGGGCAUAGCCAGGGGACAGGGGGGCAACUGCCCCCCCAUCAGGUAAAUAAAUAAAAAUACUUGACUAAAAGUAGAAACUGUAGAAAGAUUUUGACAGAUUUUUCUGAGCACUUAGGUUCAAAAGAAAAUAAUUUAAAACAUUUCAUUCCAAAUCUGCUAGAGUCAGAUGUUGAUGACAGGUGGGUGUCCUGUCCAUCCCCCCCAGUAUAAAUCCGGUCUAAGUCCAUGUAUGCAACUGUUUAGUUUCCCUGCCCCCAUCAGCCAGUCAAGUUAAUGAUCAUUUUGUACUGGUUUUAUGGUGUUUUGUACUUUAUCUAUCAUGUUGUAUUGUAUGAGCUGGCGAUACAGAAAUACUUUUUAUAAAUAAAUAAAUCAACAAAAGAAAAAUGCAAUAUUAAAAUCAGUUAAAACGAUGUUAGAAUCAGUGAGAUGCCUAGUUAUAAAUACAAAAUAAACUAGACCAAAAGAAAAAUGAAGCAACAACAAAAAGGGCAAUUUAGCAGAAUAUUUCAAGAGAGUAAGCAGGAACCACUCAACCUCAGAUUGCCCCAAAAAGCUUUCUACUGAGAAACCACCCUAACUUUAGGAGUAUCUGUAAAUUUGGACUCAUAGAUACCUACUGUAAAAUGUGGCUUAGCAAUAGAUCUAAUAAACAAACUAUAGUUUCAUGAUGUGAUAUUAUAUCUCAUUCUGGAUUUUAUCAGCAGUGACUUAGCGUAUCCGUGCAUUGAAAGAACUUAGAAAGAUAAUGGAGGUAUAUUUGAUUACUCUCACCUAUGUACUAAUACUGAUAAUAGGAACUUCCCUUAUUAUUUUGAGUUACUGAUCCAGUGUUAUUUCCCUUGCUGCAGAAAUACUUCUAGCUGAGAUCAAUCAUCUUGUUACUGGUGUACAUUCCACAGAUAGCUGCUUAUAACGUACUAUGUGAAAACUGGUAACAAUUUCCAGUAGAUUACCGAUGUGAUCAUUUACACGACCAAGCUCUUAUAUUAAACAAUGUACCUUGGACAAAUUGGGUGCGCAACCCUAAUGUAACCCUAAUGCUGAUUGAAACUAUGAUACUCCUCAAUCUCCUUUGUGUAACAGUGUAGUAUUAGUUGGGCUUGAACAGUUUGACACAUCACUAUAGAAUAGUAAACAUGUUCCUGUAUCUAGCAAUGCCUACCUUUCUAACUAAGUAACGACAGGAAAGGUAGCAAUCUGGAAAGCUAUGGGACUAGCUCUGUGUGUUCAGAAUAGCUUUGGAUGUGUAGGACUCUAUAGGUCAUAACCAGGCCAAUCUGUUUCCGGGCACAAUUUGAAGCACUGGUUAUGACCUAUAAAGUCCCACAUGGCUUAGGUCCAAGCUAUCUGAAAGACCUUAUUCCCUCGUACAAAUCUGUCCAGGUUUUAAGAUCUUUGGGGCAGGCCCUUCUCUUGGUCCCGUCACCUAUACCCUCCAACAUUUCUCCAAUGAAAAUAGGGACAUCCCAUUCCAUAAUAAUAAUGUUACUAUUUAUACCCCACCCCUCUGAAUGGGUUGCCCCAGCCACUCUGGGAGGCUUCCAACAUUAUAUUCAGGGGGGACUGGUUACAAAAAUAUACACAUUAGCCAAAACUGCAUUAAAAAAAUGUGUUUCUUCGGAGAAAUUUGCACUAAAAUGCUGAUGAAUUUUAAUAAGGAUUUUAAAAAAUACUGCAGAUUGCUGCAGUAAUGUGGAAAACUGAAUUUAAGAUUGAAAAAAAUGAGAAACAGAGAGAACUCAAACCGACAGAUUCAUGCACUGAAGAGCUAAGUAUUCAAGAGUCCUUGUGCCCUUUCCUUUCCUUUAUUUUAAUUUUAUACAAUUGUUUAUACAAUGCUAUAUCAUUUUAAAAAAUCAAAGCAAUUUAGAAGAAUAUCCAUAUAGAAUAAAAACACAUAAAAACCAAAAUCAUGGACUAUCAAAUAACUAUAAUGGAAAUAUGUAUUCUUAAUUGCCUGCAUAAGGCUGUAGUCGCACAGAAGCUAUUUCUAUUUCCCUUACUGUUAACUUGCAUGUUAUAUUUGAGCAAGUUUAGUGCUUAUUUCUGUGUUAUUUGCAAGCAGAUUGUUUUCCAGAAGCAAAUAACAUGGAAAGGAGCACUGAAUUUGCAGUAUAUUCCAUUAUAUUUCCAAAAAUGGUUUUUACAUCGUGUGAACGCUCCAAUAGUCAUCAUGUGGAAAUUAACAGUUAGGGAAACAUCGAGAAAGUGAAAUAAACUGCUGUUUGAAUGUAGUCUAAGCAUGGCAGAAUAGAAAAGCAUUCUGCAGGCAUUUAAAGGCUGAAACAGAAGGUGCCUCCUUCCACAAUGAAGCAAAAUCAGCUGAGAGAGAGAAGUCUGGAAUUUCCUAAAUGAAACAAUACUUCAAAGAUCUAAGCUUUUAAUGAAAUAAUGCUUGAGUGAGGGAAACCAUAAACAGAUAUGGUUGUGGGGCUCUGAUCCUGCAGUCAGUGACCAUUGUUGACUCAUUACCCACCACACAAAUUAAAAUUUAAAAAGAUGAAUCAUGUGUCAUAAUAUUUAUACUCCUUCAGUUACUACACUCUAGUAAUUAAACACAUAAGGUGAUCACAUGUUAUGGGCUGAUCUGUGUGUCCACUUUGAUUCAAAUGACUUAUUCAACACCGUGCAGGAAAAACUAAAUCACAUUUCACCUAAUGGUGUGAAAAGUUAAUUAUCAGUGUCAAUUAGACACUCAAGUCACUGAGUAAUUACACUGUAAUUGACAAGGGUUAAUUACUUCUAUUGUAAAUUAAACGAUGUGUGUCUUUCUGAGGAACACUGUACAGGGAGUGCCUGAACUAUUUGGUAUGAUCGAUUUUGGUUUUGUUGACUUUUUCCACAGAUUUUGAACUUUCAGUCUGUAUCGGUUGACUGUGGCCAAUCAGGUAGUCUGUUAAAUGUGAACUGAGAGUUUCUACUCCACACACCUCAAGUAAGAAAUGAAGAAACUGUUAAAUCAGCCCCCCUUUUUUUGUUUGGUUGGGUAUCUUAUCAUUAUUUCAAAGGAUGCAGAUAAUGAAACAGUGAGCCUUAUUCAGUUGCUAACAGGAAAAUGGCAACCUUGUGUUGAGAAUCUCCAGAAGAUUGGCCUUCUUACCACUGUUGUCACAUUGUGCAUCUCACCUCUACAACCAAUCAAAGAUGUGGAGCACAGGCAAGGAAAUGUACAGUUUAAUGAUGCCACAGAAGAAUGUAAAAUGAGUUUAUUGGAUCAGGCCUACCAUCCUGUUCCCACAGUGGCUGACCGGAUACCCGUUGGAAGCCUGCAAGAUGAACAUAAGCACAACAUGAGUCUGCCCAUCUGUGAUUCUCAGCAACUAGUAUUCAGAGGCAUAAUGUCUCUGACAGUGGCUAGUAGACAUUGGCAGCCUUGUCUUCUGUGAAUCUGUCUAAUCCCAUUCAUUAUUCUGAAGAUUCAUUCAUUUGUGUGCUUUUCUAAGUGGAAACAGUCCCUCCCCACCAGCGUGCUCACAAAGUUGACCGAGUGGCUUAAGGGACAAGGCCAGGCUAAACAAAGUGAAAACGACAUUUUAAACAUCAAGUCUAUUUAAAAAAACAAAACAACAAAACAACAGCAAAAAUGAAACACCCCAUAACCGUACCACAAAUAAGUAAGUGGUUCAAAAAGACAUCCAAAGAAUGGAGCGUUUUACAGGCCAUCACCUCCUCAAUGCCCGUUUUUAAAGAGGUGCUGCAGAGUGGAGUGGACUGGGUGAUGGUUUCUCUGGAGCUGUGCCCAGAAGGUAGAGGGAUCUUCACAGGCAGACCCUGGAAUGCUGCUCCUCUCCAUCAGAAGCAUUGUAGCCAGAUGCAGGCAUGGGCAGGGAUGGAGAGAGACCUCUUGGUGGAGGUCAUGUCAAGGGUAAUGUCUAUUUCCACCCUGGCUUGUUUAUUGCAUCCUGGGUGGUGGUGGUGGUGGUAGGACUUGUUAUGAUUAUGUGAUCAGCUGUGCACACAGCUAGUAGCGAAUCGUCAAGGAGUGAAUAAUAUCAGUCAAUCGUUUAACAUUAAGAUGUGGCUAGCUGGAAAAAAUAUACCACAGGUAGGCAUCAACUUCCCAAUGUGUGUGGCACGGCACAGCUGACCUGGCCCAAGGGGAGGUAGAAAAAUGUACCAAGGCAGGGAACAGAAAGAAUAGUCUUCAAGGCAUAUGGGGUCCCUCUUGUUAAUGCAGCUGGAGAUUGAUAGGCAGAAUAGCUCCCCCUCCCUUUUCUAAACAGCUUUAAGCUCUUUAAGGCCUGAUAUUUCAUUUCAGAAUCACAAGUGCUCCAUCUAGUGGUUAAUGGUUUUCUUUUGCAAACAUCAGUCGGUCUUUGUAUCUUAAUAAAAUGUUACGGCUUAUGAACUUUCUGCAAUUAUAAUUGUUGAAAUCACAGGUUUGUGGGUUGUUGUUUUUAAAAAAGAGUCAGUCUCAAGUGUGUGUGUGUGUGUGUGUGUGUGUGUGUGUGUGCACUGAGGAGGAAUGCAGUUUAGUAGUUCCAUGUUGGUGCUGCCACCAAAAUUAAGACACUGAGCUUCCUAUCAUGCUUGUUUCAUUUGGCCAACAGAAGUUGUGUUUUAUCCCAAGUAUUGUCUAGCAGGUUUUAAUGCAGCACCAUCAAUCCAAACAAGUAAGACGAUGCCCUACUGGUGGUAAUCUGAGAAGUCAGCUUGGAGUGUUUGUGUGUGUGUCAGUGAGACACUUCUGGAAACUAGGAGCUGGAUCCCAAGCAUACAGGAAAAACACUUUUGCUUGCAUAGUUGCUUCUUGGUCUGUGUGCAGAUUCAUAGCUAGUUUGUCCAUCUAUUCCUCCCCUAUAACGUAUGACUCAGGACCAUAAUACCUCAAGGACCGACUGCCUCUCCCCAUAUGAACUGACCUGGGCCCUGAGAUCAUAAUCUGAGGCCCUUCUUCAUGUGCCUCCUCCACAAGAGGUCCAGAGCAUAGCAACACAAGGAUGGGCCUUCUCUGUGGUGGCCCCCUGUUGGUGAAAUGCUCUCUCCAGAGAGGUUUGGCUGCCUCCUUCAUUACAUAUCUUCAGGCACCAGACAAAAAGGUUUCUUUGUAACCAGGCCUUUGGCUGAUUAAACAUUCUGGUAUUUUUAAAUGUUUUUGUGGGAGGGGGGUUAUUGUUUUGUUUUUGUUUUGUUUUUAUUUUUAUAUUGUGAACCACCCGGUGAUGUUUGGGGGAAGGGCGGUAUAUAAAUUUAAUUAACAAUAAUAUUAAUAGAUUCUGGCUUCAAGCUUGCCUCUCCCUUUGCACUUCCCCAUCUUGUUCCAAAUGAUCUCUCGCUGACAGUGAUUCCCUAGCAGGUGACAAACCCUGACCUGGAGAUUAAUCUCUGAUCAUCUGAUGCCUCUUGGAUACCACCCUCUGUCAGCAUCCUAGCCAAUCAAAUUUGUAAAUCAGAAUCACACAUACUGUCAUUAUCAGUUCUCUGUAGACAGUUCUGUGGACAGACAGGAUAAUUUGCGGGAUCUGCACUAACAAGGGUUUGGGAUAGUCCUGGUUUAUAGGUUGCAAAGGAAUAAUAAAGAGUAUUCGAUCCCUAGUCCUCUUGUCCAGAGGCAUGUGAAGAGGAAUUUACAAGCCUAGGACUGCAUAGUCUCAAUGUCAGUAACUCUAACCCCAGCAGACUCAAAAUGAUGACAGGCAUCUAAGAAAUAACUACCCAGGGAAAUGGUGAAAAGCCAGAGACUGUCUAACCACAAAGUAGAGAGCUGAAAACUCUAUGUAUUGCAAGCUUGGAAGUCAGAUUCUGUGCUGAUGCUCAAACAACACAUCAGAUGAUUUCUGCAGAAGCAGUCAAACAUAUGGACAAAGAUAGCGAAACUACGAGAGGCGUUUUCAGAACUUUAUUUGCUUUCUAGGUGGGGAAGGGAACACACAAACAGAACAUAUGCAAACACUGCCAUUCGGGAAGAUCAACUGCAGGAAGAGAGGUAAACUUUCCGCAGAACGGGCAACCUUUUUGAAAAGGCAAUUCAAAGUUGGAUGCAAGAACUUUUCUGCAAGCAUAUUCGAAAUGACAUCUGGUGGAAAGAGGAGCUUGAAAAUCACAAUGCUCAACUACAUAUGAGAAAUCAACGUGCCGUGCACAAAACCAGCAAUCUGCCCGCUGCAAGUGUCCUAAUGGUGCUUGAAGUAGCUCUGGGAUGGAACCGAAGUAAUUUCUCCACUGGUAUUAGUUGCCUGGGGAAAUCUGUAUAUCGACUAAUCUGGCCUUUUAUCAGUGUAGUUCAGGCAUAGGCAAACUCUGGCCCUCCAGAUGUUUGGGACUACAAUUCCCAUCAUCCCUGACCACUGGUCCUGUUAGCUAGGGGUGAUGGGAAUUGUAGUCUCAAACAUCUGGAGGGCCGGAGUUUGCCUAUGCCUGGUGUAGUUCAAGGAAGCUUAGGCAUAGUUUGGCUGUCCACAGUGAUAGGGUAAAGGCUGUCAAUAAGUGGUAGAACACAAAGCAUGAGGAAGGUCCCAGGUUCAGUUGCUGGCAUCUACAGGUGAGGCUCAGAAAGACUGCUAUUUGAAACCUGAUGAACCCCUAACCAGGCAAAGGAGAUAAUACCAAACUAGAUGGACCAACCAUCUAAUAAGGCAGCGUCUUAUUUUCUAGCUUAGACACACCACGAAGAUUUGCUUCUUUUCCCUUCUGGGGUACCCAACAGCCCGUAUAGAGUCCUUAAGUAGUUUCCCUAUUGGAAGGCGAAAAUAACAGAGGCCAACCAGAGUAUAUUGACAAGCAAAGCAGCUAGUAAGCCUGAUCUUUAUUAAACUGUUGCAACAGGGCCCUCACUCACCACACACAGGAGGGAGGAGGAACCCAGAACAAUGGUGUGCAAGCCCUUAUAGACAUUUGAAACUGCCCACUCUGUAGCUCAAGACCACCCCAAAAAACAUCAUACUUACAUCACAGAAGGAGGUGGUCUCCAACAGAAAUCCUGCUUGUCAGGAUACCUGGUAAUGGUCACUGAUUGCUUUACCUGGGCAGCCUGGCCAUUCCGUUUGAGAUGCUAAAUACUUAGUUCCUGAAUCCAGGCUCAUCCUAUUCAUGCACAAAUAUGCCCUUAAGACAGGAUUUGUGAGUAAAGAGACAAUGGGGAAGCUUCCUCACUGCAGAGGAAUAUUUGAGGUCACUGAGAGACUGAAAGAGUCAAAAUGGCUUCAGGGUUGCUCUCCCAUACUAUUUCAGACAUGUGGUUUAUAUACUUAUGUAUGUGUUUACCUUGUACAUUUAUGAACAUUUAAUUUAUAUAUAUAUAAGACCUUAGAAUUCCUAUAACACAACUAAGGUCCUUUUAACUGUAUGGACACAGUGGUCAAGAGAACAUCCUAUAUGGGCUAUACGAGACUCAUUUUCAAUUGCUGGUUAUUAUUGGGUUUGCCUUUGAUAGGAGGAUGCAUCUAGAAUCAGAGAUGGGAGGUAGAGCCAACUAGUCUAGCUCUGAGCUUGAUGACAGAGCUAGAGCAGAUUCUGGUCCAGCCUCUGUCUGAAGACCCUCAACGAAGGACAGGACACCAGCCCCCCAAAGCAUUUGUCAAACUGAACUUCCUGUUAAGAAGUUUCUUCUACUGUUUGGCUACUGUCUUGUACGUAAAUGGCUCCGACACCCCCAGAAGACAAACAGAUAGAAGUGUAGUAAAUUUACUGACUAAGCUAUGUUGCAUUAAAUACGUAUUAUCUGUUACACCACCUGAUUCCUGAAGUGGUGUCAGAAAAUAUAUUUCACCACUUUGCUUCAAGCCUAUUGAUUACUGUUCCAACUUUAUUUUCUUAGUUUGGGUGUCAUUUUUACUUAGCUUGGGGUUUCUUUCUCCUUCAUAGAGUUAUCCCAGCCAAUCAGCAGUAUAUAUACAGUGGUACCUCGGGUUACAUACGCUUCAGGUUACAUACACUUCAGGUUACAGACUCCGCUAACCCAGAAAUAUUACCUCAGGUUAAGAACUUUGCUUCAGGAUGAGAACAGAAAUCGUGCAGUGGCGGCGCAGCGGCAGCAGGAGGCCCCAUUAGCUAAAGUGGUGCUUCAGGUUAAGAACAGUUUCAGGUUAAGAACGGACCUCCGGAACAAAUUAAGUACUUAACCUGAGGUACCACUGUAUAUAUAUGAUGACAUCACGGUGCUAUGUAGCCAUUCAGAUUUGGCCAUGUGAUGUCACUAACGACAAGUGAAGUUAAUUGAGUAAGAAAGCAGAUUGUCCAUAUGGAGGAUCCAGACACUUAGAUGACUUGUUGUCGUCAUUCUGUACAACAUUUUCAUCUUUUAAUGCAGGCCUGAAAAUAUUACUUAAAAAGUGGGGUGCUGUUUCAUGCUGCUGAGAACAUUUAUGAAAAGUGAAUCCUUCUCGCGCUGUCCCUAUUUAACUGGCCCACUGAUGGUGCCCCAGAUGUCUCAUCAUAGCAUCUAACUGGAUUCAGAUUAGAGCGCCAUCAAACAGCACUCACUGUUGCUGAGAUUUGCAGCGUCUCUUUCCAUUCCCUGGACACUAGAACUAGGAUCAUGUCAGAAUAUGGGCUAAACAGAAGGGAAUUUGUUUGAUGCCUCGCCUGUGGACCGCUGCAAGACUGCUUACAAAUUUACUAGUCACUAAGAAAUUGGUAAGCAACGUUAGAAAACGUCUAAGUAGGGACCAGAGAGACUGUCUGACGAGUUCCUGUGAAAAUAAAUGAUCUUGCAGUUAUCAUAAGCUCCUUAUUAACAAAGUCCCGGGAGUACAAAAGAAGAGAAAAAAACACAUGGCCUGUUACAUUGGUAAGCCUGCUAAGUGAAUAAGCAGCAAAAAUUCUCACUGAACAGGCUGCUUACACUGAUUUAGUUCAAUUAGGUUCAGCAGGAUUACACCAGUGCAAGGUGUUUGGGAAUAUCCCUGGGGGUGCACAUCUUUACUGAACCAACUUGAAAGGUUCAGGUUAGACACAGCAAUUUUGAAAGCAUCCCUGCAAAGUUCAUCUGCCAAAACUUCAACAAGCCUGCCUCAGUAGCGUACCGAGGUCUUUUCAAUAUGUCAGAGGCGAGAUUUGCCGAUAACCCAGAAAACCUACAUUUCCCCGCUACUUUAAAUGGAGAUCUUGCCUUUUGUAAAUCUAAUGGAAUGUGGAGGACCUUAAAAUAUUGAUUUACUGACAGUUGUUGAAAAGAGCAAGCAAGAGAUGAAAAUCUGUUGUUUAUUUCCACUACUGGUUGCAUAUUAUUUUUUAAAAUAAAAAUGUUAUUUCAGAAAUUAUGAGGGUGGGGGCGGAAAAUGAAAGAAGAAUCUUAAAACAUCUGAUUGUAUGUGUGUUUUCCUUUUGAUAUAACACCAGAGAGGGCCAAACCAUAUGUUGUUUCCUCAUGUUUCUAGCUGGAGGCAUUGGCAAAGAGUUAAUAGGCACUCCUCCCAAGGUCAGUCAAACACAUUUUGCUACCUGUGAUGGAACAGCAAAUGGUGCCCACCUUCAAGCCAAGGUGCCUAUUGAAAUUAUCUUUUCCAUCUGGCUGCCUCAACUGUUACAUCCAAGCAGGUCACUAUAAGAACUGAUGCAUGAGCUUGCUUUAUUCCUCCUCCCUCUCCAUCCUCCCCGCCCCCUUGUGUCGUGCCAUGGUCAGAUCACUUCCUGGUGCAACUGGACUUCUCUGCGACCCAUCCCUUCUGCAGGGAGGUGGGACCAAUUUGGAUGGUCCGCCCCCGCCACUUAAUGGAUCCAAAUGGUCUCCAGAGAGUGGUAGGGGAUGCUUUAUCCCAUGUUGAUGGCCUUUCAGCUGAUUCCCUGGUGGCCCGCUGGAAUAUGGAGUUAACCAGGGCUAUUGACUGUUUGGCUCCGAAGCGCCCUCUCCGAUUGCAUGGAGCCCGGACAGCCCCGUGGUUUUCCACGGAUCUGAGGGCAAUGAAACAAUUGUUGAGAUGGCUAGAGCGCCGGUGGCGGAUAACUCAUUCCAAAUCUGACCGGACACAGGUUAGAGCUCAACGUCGAGCCUACCAAGUGGCGAUAGCGACGGCGAAGAAGACUUUCUUCGCCGCCUCUAUUGCAUCUGCAGAAAACAGCAGCAGGAGACUUUUUCAGGUGGUUCACAAUUUAGCAGAACCACCUGCGACAUCUGGGCCCAGUACGGGCCACAUGAUCUCCUGCAAUGAUUUUGCAAAGUUUUGUGCAGAUAAAAUCGCUCAGAUUCGGGAAGAAGUAGACUCCACCGUGGGAGCAGGGCCAGAGCGGGAGAGUGCUAGAGUCCUGUCUAGUCAAGUUGCGUGGGAUCAAUUCCAACCUGUUACCUCCGAGGAUGUGGACAGGCUGCUUGGACGAGUGAAGCCAACCACCUGUCUCCUGGAUCCUUGCCCAUCCUGGCUUAUAAAAGCUAGCCGGGAAGGACUGGGCGAUGGGCUUCGUGGGGUGGUGAAUGCUUCCCUCCGUGAGGGAGCCUUCCCAGACCCACUGAAAGAGGCGGUUAUUAAACCGCUUCUUAAAAAACCAUCUUUAGAUGCGGCCACGAUGGUCAAUUAUCGCCCAGUCUCAAAUCCUCCAUUCUUGGGCAAGGUGAUUGAGCGAGUGGUUGCUGAACAACUCCAGGCACGCCUGGAAGAAGCGGACCAUUUGGAUCCCUUCCAGUCGGGAUUCAGGCCUCAUCAUGGGACUGAAACUGCCUUGGUCGCACUGGUUGAUGAUCUCCGGCGGGCUAGGGACAAAGGUGAGAGCUGUUUCCUAGUUCUGCUGGAUCUCUCAGCGGCGUUUGAUACCAUCGACCAUAACAUCCUUCUGGACCGUCUUGAGGGGCUAGGAGCUGGGGGCACUGUCAUACAGUGGUUCCGCUCCUUCCUCCUGGGCCGUGUUCAGAAAGUGGUGGUGGGGAUGAGUGUUCAGACCCCUGGGCUCUCACUUGUGGGGUGCCUCAGGGUUCUGUCCUCUCCCCAUGCUUUUCAACAUUUACAUGCAGCCACUGGGAGAGAUCAUCAGGAGGUUUGGGCUGGGUGUUCAUCAGUAUGCGGAUGAUACCCAGCUCUACCUCUCUUUAAAUCAGAACCAGUGAAGGCGGUGAAGGUCCUGUGUGAGUGUCUGGAGGCGGUUGGAGGAUGGAUGGCGGCUAACAGAUUGAGGUUGAAUCCUGACAAGACAGAAGUACUGUUUUGGGGGACAGGAGGCGGGCAGGUGUGGAGGAUUCCCUGGUCCUGAAUGGGGUAACUGUGCCCCUGAAGGACCAGGUGCGCAGCCUGGGAGUCAUUUUGGACUCACAGCUGUCCAUGGAGGCACAGGUCAAAUCUGUAUCCAGGGCAGCUGUUUACCAGCUCCAUCUGGUACGUAGGCUGAGACCCUAUCUGCCUGCAGACUGUCUCGCCAGAGUGGUGCAUGCUCUGGUUAUCUCCCGCUUGGACUACUGCAAUGCGCUCUACGUGGGGCUACCUUUGAAGGUGACCCGGAAACUACAACUAAUCCAGAAUGCGGCAGCUAGACUGGUGACUGGGAGCGGCCGCAGAGACCAUAUAACACCGGUCUUGAAAGACCUACAUUGGCUCCCAGUACGUUUCUGAGCACAAUUCAAAGUGUUGGUGCUGACCUUUAAAGCCCUAAACGGCCUCGGUCCAGUAUAUCUGAAGGAGCGUCUCCACCCCCAUCGCUCUGCCCGGACGCUGAGGUCCAGUUCCGAGGGCCUUCUGGCGGUUCCCUCACUGCGAGAGGCCAAGUUACAGGGAACCAGGCAGAGGGCCUUCUCGGUAGUGGCGCCCGCCCUGUGGAACGCCCUCCCAUCAGAUGUCAAAGCGAUAAACAACUACCUGACAUUCAGAAGACAUCUGAAGGCAGCCCUGUUCAGGGAAGUUUUUAAUAUGUGACAUUUUAGUGUAUUUUUCAUCUUUGUUGGAAGCCGCCCAGAGUGGCUGGGGAAACCCAGCCAGAUGGGCGGGGUACAAAUAAAAAAUUAUUAUUAUUAUUAUUAUUAUUAUUAUUAUUAUUAUUUUAUAGUGGGGUAGGAGAGCUGAAAAUAAUGCCAAUAUACUUCACACCUGGCAACCCAUGCACCCCUUUGGUUUCAGAUAGUACAUGAGUAAAAAGGUAAAGGUACCCCUGACCAUUAGUUCCAGUCGUGACCGACUCUGGGGUUGUGCGCUCAUCUCACUCUAUAGGCCGAGGGAGCCAGCGUUUGUCUGCAGCAUUUGUCUGGUCAUGUGGCCAGCAUGACUAAGCCGCUUCUAGCGAACCAGAGCAGCACAUGGAAACGCCGUUUUACCUUCCCGCCGGAGCAGUACCUAUUUUUCUACUUGCACUUUGACAUGCUUUCGAACUGCUAGGUGGGCAGGAGCAGGGACCGAGCAAUGGGAGCUCACCCCGUCAUGGGGAUUCGAACCGCCGACCUUCUGAUCGGCAAGUCCUAGGCUCUGUGGUUUAACCCACAGCGCCACCUGCGUCCCAUUAGUACAUGGGUAGACGAGUCUAAAAAGCCCUGGGCACAAAUGUAUGUACAGUGGUACCUCGGGUUAAGAACUUAAUUCGUUCUGGCAGUCCGUUCUUAACCUGAAACUGUUCUUAACCUGAGAUACCACUUUAGAUAAUGGGGCCUCCUGCUGUAGCCACGCCGCCACUGCGCAAUUUCUGUUGUCACCCUGAGGUAAAGUUCUUAUCCCGAGGUAUUAUUUCUGGGUUAGCGGAGUCUGUAACCUGAAGCGUAUGUAACCUGAAGCGUCUAUAACCCAAGGUACCACUGUACUGUAUUUUUCCGUCUAUAAGAUGCCCCCAUGUAUAACAUGCCCCCUAUUUUUGGGGACUCCGAUUUAAGAAAAUGGGGGGAGAUGGCUCCCAUGUCUAAGAUGCCCCCAAAUUUUAAACAUUAAUUUUUAGGGAAAAACCCUAGUCUUAUACACAGGGAAAUAUGGCAUAUUUUGCUCUAGGCGGCUGCAGAAUCGAGUUUACACUUCCAGAGUUAAUGCUAAAUACAUUACUUCUGGUAAAUGAGCCACCAUAGCCGCUAGAGGGCCAUGAAAAUUUUUGUCCCAGGCUUUUUAGACUCGUCUACCCAUGUACUAUCUGAAACCAAAGGGUAAGGUAAAGGUAAAGGUAAAGGUAAAAGGUAAAGGACCCCUGGACGGUUAAGUCCAGUCAAAGGUGACUAUGGGGUUGCAGCGCUCAUCUCACUUUCAGGCCAAGGAAGCCGGCGUUUGUCCAUAGACAGCUUUCCGGGUCAUGUGGCCAGCAUGACUAAAUCGCUUCUGGUGCAACGGAACACCAUGACGGAAGCCAGAGCACACAGAAACACUGUUUACCUUCCCGCCACAGCAGUACCUAUUUAUCUACUUGCACUGGCGUGCUUUCAAACUGCUAGGUUGGCACGAGCUGGAACAGAGCAAUGGAGGCUCUCUCCAUUGCGGGGAUUUGAACCGCCGACCUUCCAAUCGGUAAGCCCAGAGGCGCAGUGGUUUAGACCACAGCACCACCCGCGUCCCUUGAAACCAAAGGGUCUCAUGCGUUGCCAGAUGCAAUUCCCCGCCCCUGGCCGCUCUCCUACUGCACUGUUAGAUUGUAAGCUUGGAGGCAAGGAUCGUCUUACCACUGAUCUUUGUAACCCACUCAGGAUGCUCCCGCCCCCAACCAAAAGAGCAGGGUAAAAAAUAAAAAAAACUGCAACAAACAAACAAACAAAUAACAACUGUGUCAAUAUUUUAUUGCUGUUAGGUACCUGAACAAAAAAUUAAUAAUAGAUAAAAACAGCAGCAGCUAUCUUUAGCUGUAAACAGUAAAAAAAACCUGUCCAAGUCAGGGUGGUUGAUGGCCCACGACCUGUUUGCGGGUUAGCAUCCUUUAAUGUUUGAUAGGCAGGUCGUACAGCUCACCUGUGUUAGUUUUAGGUGCAGAGGCCCAACAGCAACACAGCUGAUUCGUGUGGACCCAAGCAUGCUAAGAUCAGAGAUCUGAAACAUAAGAUCCCUAUGCAUUCUUGGAUCAUAAUAUGUGGGGUUCUUAAUUUGCUGGAACCAUGCAUGAAGACAGCAUCUCUGGAGCAAGAAUUUGUGCUCAAAAUUAUUAUUCAUGAACAAUCUGCAUCACCGUGAACGCUCCAUGCAGAUAGCUACAGUUACCUUUUCUUGUUCAACAGAAACUCAGCGUUACACUAAAUGUCAAAAGAAUUGGUUGGAAAUACUCAUGAACCAGAAUUCAUAGGCUUCGCACAACAGUCUUUUUUUUCUUUCUUUCCUAGUAAUGAGGUCUCUUGCUUUAGAGUCAGUUUCAGAUAAUGGAAUCUGAUCCGUUCUAGGAAUUUUGCCUGAAACCAGAGACUUAAAAAUAUCCCAGUGCCCGGCUGCCAGAUUUCAUGACAGUUAUUAUGCUUUUAGAAAUCUACAAAAGAAAAAUGAAAUCCACAGGGAACACAAGUUUACUCUGACAUUUGUCAACAUUUGGUGGACCAGGAAAAUUAACACAAGACCUAGCAAUGUGAUAUGCCAAGUCAUUAUGAUACAUCAGAUGUAAUAGUUACCAAUUAUCAUAGCAUCCCAGGUUCACCGUGAUACUGCAAGGAGCUGCCACGGGCUGCAGUGUAAAUCCUGCAUUAUAAGGAAAUUAAAAGCUAAAUUAAAAGAUGUCACCCCAAACCCUCGUUAUCUGACUACAUUGUUCCGCUCCCGCACCUCGUAGGCUCAUUUCCAGAUAAGCAUAGUAAUGAAAUCCUAUUAUUAGAGCUUGUCUUUGUCAUGCUCUAGUUCAGGGAUCUCCCACGAAGUUGUUGGGAAUCCAGUUACCAUCAGUCCCAGGCGGCAUGGCCAAUGGUGAGGAAUGAAGGGAGGGAUGUCUGAGAAGUGGGAUCACACCAAAAACCUGAUACCAAUAGUUUUUCUAAGAUUCCUUCUUUCCACUCUCGCCAUGUUGCUUAUAAUGUGAUAAAACUAUAUUGUGUCACACACACACACACACACACACACACUCUCUCAAAACUGAGCCUCCACAAUCUCUUUAGCGUUUCUUUAUAAGGAAAGUACAGUCGUAUUUUGGAAGUCAAUCAGAAUCCGUUCCAGAAGUCCGUUCAAAUUCCAAAAUGUUUGGAAACCAAAGUGCGGCUUCUGAUUGGCUGCAGGAAGCUCCUGCAGCCAAUCAGAAGCCAUGGAAGCCCUGUUGGACGUUCAGGUUCCAAAGAACGUUAGCAAACCGGAACACUCACUUCUGAGUUUGUGGCGUUCUGAGUACCAAGGCGUUUGGGGUCUAAGGUACGCCUGUAUCCUAAAACCUUCAGCUUCUCCUCUUUGUCCUCUUCUCCAUCUCCUUCUGCUCUGUGGAAUGUGUCUUGAAAUGGGGCAACUAAAUCUGGACACUUCACACUACGGAAGUAUGGAACUGAGACAAUAGGAAGGUACCAUCAUUCAAUAUACCCUAAGUCUGAAAGGAUUUCUACAAUACACUGAAUUAGUUGAAUUGCCUGAGGCAAAUGGUCAGAUCACAAUCCAUGUGGUUCUGUGAAUAAAUGCCUUAGAAGAUCUGGUUCAAAAAGUUAACCCACUGCCUUAAUUGUAUAGCCCAGAUCAACCGAAACCAGGGCUUUUUUUUUUCAGCCGGAACUUGAGGAAACUCAGUACUAGCACCUCUCAUUUGGGCACCAUUGCCAUUGUAAGAGAUUAAGGGAGGUUUUCAUGGUGAGUUCUGGCACCUCUUUUUCUAGAAAAAUAGCAAUGACCGAAACAACAUCUGUCUCCAAGUUAGACUGUACUGUACUCCCCCACCCCGGAAAAUCAGAUAGUUUAUUUACAGUUCUAGCUAGAAAAUCCAUAUAAACUUUGGUGCCCCCGCCCCCCAUACAGUGGAACAAUUAAGAAACAUUGCACAUAGUAAAAUAUGUAUACAGUAAACACAUGGACCUGAUCCACAGAUGCAGCACCCAUGGAGAAUGCAGCCCACUGGUGCUGUACCUGAAGUACAAGUGGAGAGGGAUAUAUACAAUAAAUACUCUCUUUUGACUUAAAAACUGGACAGGGAAAGGAAUAUUCCAAGUUUUAAAAUCCCACGAACCAUGUGAGAUGAAAAGAUGUGCUCUGAUGUCUUAGACUCACUUGGUUACUACAUGGGAAUCAUGUGAUUCACAGGCAAUAACUUUUUGGGUUGGCUGCAGGAAGAGUUGUUUCCUCUUUUGGGGAGGUUGGGCUGUAGUUAUUUUGCAUAUAUGGAGAGGGGGAUCUGAACAUCACAAUUUUUUAAUUUUAUGAACUUUUGUUUGUCUGUUUCUUCAUGUUCAUAUUUUUAAUCAAGGCUAGGCAUCAGAUUGUGCCUGUUCUACUGUACUGUGUCCUUAAGGUGGCCCAUCUCACAGUUUGAGAACCUUAGUAUUCCAAAUGGUAAUGCUAGUGGACAACAAAAGUGGUUUAAAUAUGCUCUCAAGGCAAAUCUUUAAAAAUGCAAUAUAAACACUGACAACUGGGAAUCAUUGGCCUGCGAGCGCUCCAAUUGGAGAACAGCCUUAACCAAAGACAUCAUGGACUUUGAAGAAGCACAAACUCAGGACGAAAGGGAGAAGCAAGCAAAGAAGGCAUGUUUGGCAAAUCCUCACUGUGAUCAACUCCCACCCAGAAACCUACGUUCCCACUGUGGAAGGAUGUGCAGAUCCAGAACUGGCCUCCACAGUCACUUAUGGACACACUGUUAAGAACACAUUCAUGGAAGACAAUCUUACUCAGCUAUGAGUGAUUGCCGAAGAAGAAGAAGAAGAAGAAGAAGAAGAAGAAGAAGAAGAAGAACAACAACAACAACAACAACAACAACAACAGUGGUACCUCGGGUUACAUACGCUUCAGGUUACAUACGCUUCAGGUUACAUACGCUUCAGGUUAUUCUGCUAACCCAGAAACAGUACCUUGGGUUAAGAACUUUGCUUCAGGAUGAAGCCCCAUCAGCAGGAGGCCCCAUUAGCUAAAGUGGUGCUUCAGGUUAAGAAGGGACCUCCAGAAUGAAUUAAGUACGUAACCAGAGGUACCACUGUAAUAUGUUUUAGACUGAGAAUGACUGGUACUCCAUCGAGUUCUACACUGUGGGACCAAGAGCAAACCAGAGAAAUUGUCAUGGGCACACACCACGAACUAUUCUAUUUGCUGCAACAAAAUGCUUCUUUCAGGUCAAAUUUCAACAGGGAGCUUUGGGGAACCUGCAGUCUCCAAGGCACAUUUGCAUCUGCACUUGUGGAUGCCACAUUGAUAACUCUUGAACUACCACUUCUCCCAAAACUCUCAAGAGUAGUCAACAUCUUAAAUAAUACAGGCUUUGUA